rnacentral:lncRNA from 1 species
CCCUCCGAGCAAGACGGCGGAUUGCAGGCUUUGUGAUACCUUGAAUGUUAUCACGAAGGACCUUGCGAUGACGCUUGGCUCCUCCCUUUCCCAGGCCCUUGCCUCCCUUUCCACGUCCAGACAUGUUUAUCUAGCUGAUGAGAAGAUAUGUGGAAAAGAUUCGACAUGAGAAUCGUUACCACAUGAUAGCGAUUGAAAUAAAUAAACAAAACCCAAGAAAUUGAGACCAAGCACGAAAAAUUUCAAUAAACUCCCGCAUUUUCUCAGCAAACAAACACGUAUCAAAUUGGGAAAAGUAAAAUUUUCACGAUUAACAAAAGGAAAAGAAAAUCAAAACACAUUUCUCGAACAUUAAUAUUUUCUCGCGUUUUAUUUGUGACCAGACAAGCAGCUUUAAUGAAAAAUAAACAAAAACACCAGCUGAGAACGGAGGAAUCAAAACACACUUCAGCAUAAUUAAUAUAUUCAGGUGCUGAUUCGAAUCUUGAUUUUAGAUGUCCAAAAUCAAAUGAAACCCUAGCCUUCGUUUUAAGCAGAGAUCAACUAGAACGAAUUUUGCAAGCCAAAUCACGCAGUGAAAAUCAAAUUACACCCAAAAACGAGUACAAAAAACAGAGGUGUAAAAUAAUGAGAGAGAGAAAUACCGAUAGAGCAGACUUGGAAUUGAAUCUCCAGGAUGGAAUCGAGAUGGAGAAAGAAAGAUACGUGGGAUUUUGUGUGACGGUAAAAGACGGUACAGGUUAUAUUUAUAAGGGACACGCAAGGGAUUGUCCAUCGCGGUCGAUCCGAGACAAGUGUUUUGAAGAUAAGUUUGGGCCAUUUGGCUUUGAAUGGACGGUCAAGAUUAUGAUGUUUGUAAUGGAGCGGAUCGAUGACAUGGCAUCCAUUUUUUUUAUAGAAAAAAUACUUGCUCGCUGGAAAUGGUGCUGGGUCUUGAAUUACCAGGGAGAAAGAUGAUUUGUGUUUUCUCGUGCUGGGUUUGGAUCCGAAUCCAAGUAAGCUUUUUGAGAUUUUUGUUGAGUUUCAAUUGAUUUUGUCCGUGAAGAAGGAGAUAAAUCUGGAUUGAAAAUCAAUUUCGAGGUUUGAACAUCAUGUAUUCGGAAAUUAGAGGUUAAAUGAACAAGUCAAUCUAGAUGUUACUGGUUUGCAUGUUCACCUUACUAUGCAGAGAGAUCUAAAUUUCUUUAAAGUAAAAGAAAAUACAGAGAACUUGGAAAAUAUGCUGUUAUUGCCAUUAAAUCUAAAAAUAUAUUAAUAUUUUUAUUAUUUAUCUUAGUUAGCAUAAUAUUUUUAAUUAAAAUCAUUAUUUUGUUUAGAAAAAACUUUUUAUAAUUGUUAAAUCAAGUGAACAAGCUUGUUAUUGUCAUUUUGAUUGAGCAGAAAAGAGGGCAGGUAAAAUCAAUUAUGUUACUUUAUUCUUCUGGUAGAAAGCAGGCUGCAAGGAACAGUUUUGUGAAGCUGCAUAGAUUUGCUUUUACCGGCAUUGCUAUUUCCGACUUCUAUGCUAAAAUUUGAGGAAAUAUAACAAAAUUGAUGAUGGCCUAUAUCUGUAUUUCCUGCCGGAAUCUGAGAGGGACCCUUGCAUCAGCUGCCUACCUCAGCUCGGAGAAGUGCAUAGCACGGUAAUUUGCACUAUCACUUUCUACAUUUUCGUUAUUAUGAUUACUGUGCUGCCUUGUUACAGCAUUCCACCAUCAACGAUGAUGCCAGUGCCUUUGGAAGUGUUCAGGAAUGAAAAUGUAAAAUAAGAGCAGAAUGUUCAUGGGAGGUUAGAUGCCCCCAUACCCACAUAACUAUUAAAUCUGGACCGGCCUAGUAGGUUGACUCGGGAUUUGAUCGACCUGGUAGCUGGACCGGUCCUGAUAAAUCAAAAGAUCGGAAUGAGUAAAAACUCGGUUGACCCGUUGGGUUGACCCGUGACCCGGCCAAUCCGGCAAAACCCGAUUGAGACUUUUUUUUUUAAAUGUGUUUUUUCUCCUAACUAAAGACCCCUCCUUUUUUAUAUUUUCUAUUUUCUAUUUAACUCCUUUUAAAGUUCACUAUAUAAAUACUAGAAGAAUGAUUUAUUUUUUCAAAUAGAAAUUUGAAGUCUUUUAGUAUAUAUACUUUAUGUUCAUAAGAAAAAAGUUAUAUUUUUUAACGGGGGAUAAAAAAUCUUUUUGGUUUAAAUACUUCAACUUAAAAUGAUAACAUACUAACAUAGUAUAUUUUUAAAAUGAGAUAAAAAAAUGUUUUGAAAUAAUUUUUGAAAUAUAAUUAUUUAUAACAUGUAUAAUCUAUAUUCACAUGGAUUGUUUUUUAAUUUUUUCAUAUAAAAUAUUAAUUUUUUUUUAAUUUUUCGAGUUGACACAGGUCAAUCCAUAUAACCUGAAACCUGAUUCCUUGACCAGGUCAAUCCCGGGUCGGGCUGACAAUUAUAGUCUGGCAGUGAGAGAGAGCAUGGGGCACUAGGCAGUGAGCACAGGUCAUAACAGGUCCUUCUUUGCUUUAUAUCUAGGUGGGCAGGAAAUAAGGUAGUAUUAACCUUUCUGUACGCUUGUAGAUAACCUCCCAUGAUCUUUCACCCAAAUGAUGUAUUUUGCAAAGAAGGGGUGGGUUGGAAUCUUCAGCCUUCCAAAAUAACAUUUUUCCCUAGUUAGCUCAAGUAGAAAUGGCAUUGGAGGUUUAUAAAGACAGAGGAUGUACUCUCUAUUUUCAUCUCCAUCUUCACGGGAGCCUUCUAACCUUAAUAGAUGCCUCGAUUUCAAUUUCAUCUCAAUUCGGAGGUAAGUUUCAGUCCUCCAUUUAAAUGGAGAUCGAUAUGGUUUCUUUCAUGAUCAAUUUUUAUCUAGUAUAUAUUUAAUAUUUAUCAAACAAAAGUAAGUUUUUUUUAUUGAAAAAAACUAAACAAAUUAUUUGUCAUAUAUUGAAAAAAAUUAUAGACAUAGUAAAUUAUUUUAGAUAUAUAAAUUUGGAUAAGGAGAUCCAUCGAUUUGGAGAAAUAUCAUAUCCUUCUUCAUAUCCAAGGGUAUUUUACUCAUUUCCAGAGCUCUACCUUCGUGGACAUAUAAAUACCAAUUACACAAGACAUCUACCACGCCAAUCUCUAAGAAUGCCGCCAGCUCCAGCCUCACCGGGAUUGCUGACAAUUGCUCUUUGUAGAUUCUCAAACCCAACACCUCUUUCUUGUACUGAGGAGACAUGCCCUUCAGAGCGAAAUUAAUUGCUCGAGAGAAAGAGUACGUCUGGAAUACAACAAGCAAACAUAGCUAAACAUCAUAGUUAGGAGUUAGGACAUACAACUUGCUCUAUUCAUAAGGGCACAACCACAUGUUGCACACACGUUUACGUGGGAAAUUUUAACUCGUUAGCGCUACUACCUACAUUCUGGAUCAGAGCAUCAUACAGAAAUUGCAAAGCUUCAAAAUCGCAAUUGCAGAUCAACUCAAGUCUAUUGUGAAUUGCAAAGAAAAAGUGGCCGACACCAAACUCAACCAAAAGAAAAAACAGAAAAGGAAGAUUCUUUUUGCUAUACAAGUGGGAAGUCUCCAAAACUUAGAUCAGAUCAAGUUGCGUGAGAAAUUGCCCCAAGUUAUUUAAGUGUUUAAUGAAUACCAUCACAUUGUCCUUGAAAGUUUGACGAACAACAUCCUGUUUCUAGUAUUUACUGAAGAUGCUGGAACUCAAAACAAUUUCAGUGCCCAGCACAAAGGAUAUUUCUCAUGAAUCACCGAGUUUGCUUCAAGAAGCAAAUUAUGAUAUAUAUGCCUUAACCAACUCUGAAUAAUUGCAGACCAAACUUGUCCUUGGACAGGUUACUUUACCAUCGUUUCUCUUGGCCAUUUCUUCGAGUGCCUGCAAAGCCAAAAAAAAGAAUUCAAACUAAUUAAAUUAGUGGCAACAAUGUGGUUAAGAGGUAUCUUUAUAUCACAUGAGAAAAUUGAACUUUAGUGCUGUAAACGUAGCCAUUGGGCAACACUAGGGGUGGGUUCUCUGUGUCCAUUAGUUCUUUAGCUACGUAACAAACAAUCUUAGAUGGUGCUGCUUUAAGGCAACGGAAUUGCCAACUUCCUGAAGCUCUCCUGUGACAGUGGAUCUUCCUUGGUGCAAUCAUCUUCAUAACAGUAUCUUAAAAAGGUCAAGGCAAAAAACAAACACUUGGAUAACAUAUCAAGCAAUGACCGCAUAGCCUUGUGGUCUGUGAGAGAGAUACAAGACAUAAUGCCACGAGAAAAACGAGGAAAACUGUUAGAUCAUCAUCUCCUUUAUAGACUUAAAACUCCAAACCUCGCUUUCCCUUACUUUUAGUUUUUGAAGUAAUUCGCCACCGUAAAAUAUAAUGUACCAAAUAAGACAGGUUGUUUGUGCGCAAGAGAGACAGAGAGGGAGAGGUGUUAGCAACAUGUUACAAUGUUACAACAGUUGGCUACGUUUGUUUUGCAGCUAUUAUUUUGAUUGUGAUAUAACAAACACAAUAAAUUGGGAUUUAAGUUUAAAAUCUAGUUUUUGAAAAGUAGUUUUUAUAUAUAUUUUUAACUAAAUUUCAUAAAAUUCUAUUUAUUUUUAUGUUUUAAAAACGCUUUUGAAAAAAUAAAAAAAAUUAUUUUGAUGUAUUUUUAAAUUAAAAAAAUGCGGUAUACCAAACACAAUAAGGUGUUGGUUAAUAGAUUAACUGUGUUUCGUAUGGUAGAAUUCACUAGAAAAUUAAGUGUAAAAUACAGUUUUUGAAAGUAGUUUUUAUAUAUAUUUUUAACUAAAUUUCAUAAAAUUCUAUUUAUUUUUGCAUUUCAAAAGCGCUUUUUAAAAAAAAUAAAAAAAAUUAUUUUGAUGUAUUUUUAAAUUAAAAAAAUAUUUUGAAAAGUAACCACAACUACACUUUCAAACACAAUUACCAAACAUUUUAUACAUGUUUUUUGCUACACAUAAACCUUAACCAUAAUUUUUAACAAAUAUAUAUUUAAAUCCAACUAAUCAUAUUUUUUAAAAAACUUAUUUUUUUUUAAAUUACACCAUAAAAACUACCUCAAAAACAGAUACAUUUUUAAAAUAAUAUUUUUUUAUGUUUUAAAAAUUAUUUUUAAUGUUAGUAUCAAAAUAAUAUAUAAAAAAAAAACAUAUUAAUUUAAAAAAAAAAAAUUUAUAAGCCACUUUUAAAACAUAAUAUCAACAGAGCAAUGCCUUAAUAAAUUGGGCCCAAGGCAGGAAAACAAGUGACGAAGCACAUGUUAAUGGACUUUCCUUUCAGAACGUUUUCCAUUUUGUAUUAUUUUGCUGUAUCUGCCUAUUCCCGCCGAGCAACAUCAAUAACCCGCCUACAACCACAAACCAAACACACCGGCUAUCGAGGGAAGCAUUGUCCACAGAAACUUAAAUUGACACAUCUCAGAUUUUAUAUUAACCACGUAUCUUUAAUUUAGGUUUCAGUCAAAUCAAGCAAAGAAAUUCGAGCCCGAAAAAUCAACAUUAACCCAUCACGCACUUAUACUUACAAAACAGUACCUAAAAAAACCUGAUUAGCAAAUCUAAACCCGAUCCCUCAAAAGCCCUUUUCUUGACAGCAAGACUUUUAUUUUAAAAUUAAAAGCCCUAACCACCGAACCCAUACAGAGUCCUUCCCUGCCUCUUGAGGGCAUACACCACAUCCAUGGCAGUAACGGUCUUGCGGCGGGCAUGCUCAGUGUAGGUCACGGCAUCUCUGAUAACAUUCUCCAGGAAGAUCUUGAGCACACCACGAGUCUCUUCAUAGAUCAAGCCACUGAUACGCUUGACCCCACCCCUCCGAGCAAGACGGCGGAUUGCAGGCUUUGUGAUACCUUGAAUGUUAUCACGAAGGACCUUGCGAUGACGCUUGGCUCCUCCCUUUCCCAGGCCCUUGCCUCCCUUUCCACGUCCAGACAUGUUUAUCUAGCUGAUGAGAAGAUCUGUGGAAAAGAUUCGACAUGAGAAUCGUUACCACAUGAUAGCGAUUCAUAUAAAAAAACAAAACCCAAGAAAUUGAGACCAAGCACGAAAAACUCAGCAAACAAACACGUAUCAGCUUGGGAAAACUAAAAUUUUCAAGAUUACUAAAGGAAUAGAAAAUACAUUUCUCGGACAUUAAUAUUUUCUCGCGUUUUCCUAGUGACCAAACAAGCAGCGUUAAUAAAAAAUAAACAAAAACACCAGCUGAGAACGGAGGAAUCAAAACACACUUCACCAUAAUUAAUAUAUUCAGGUCGAAUCUUGAUUUUAGAUGUCCAAAAUCAAAUGAAACCCUAGCUUUCGUUUUAAGCAGAGAUCAACUAGAACGAAUUUUGCAAGCCAAAUAACACAGUGAAAAUCAAAUUACACCCAAAAACGAGUACAAAAAACAGAGGUGAACAAUAAUGAGAGAGAGACAUACCGAAAGUGCAGACUUGGAAUUGAAUGUCCAGGUGGGAAUCGAGAUCGAGAAAGAAAGAUGUGUGGGAUUUUGUGUGACGGUAAAAGACGGUACAGGUUAUAUUUAUAGGGACACGCAAGGGAUUGUCCGUCGUGGUCGAUCCGAGACAAGUGUUUUGAAGAGAACUUUGGGCCAUUUGUUUUUGAAUGGUUGGUCAAGAUUACGAUGUUUGUAAUGAAGCGGAUCGAUGACAUGGCGUGCGUUUUCUUUUCUUAGAAAAAAUACUUGCUCGCUUGAAAUGGUGCUGGGGCUUGAAUUACUAGGGGAGAAAGAUGAUUUGUGUUUUCUCGUGCUUGGUUUGGAUCCGAAUCCAAGUAAGCUUUUUGAGAUUUUGUUUGAAUUUCAAUUGAUUUUGUCCGUGAAGAAGGUGAUAUAUCUGGAUUGAAAAUCAAUUUCGAGGUUUGAAUAUCAUGUAUUCGGAAAUUAGAGGUUAAACAAACAAGUCAGAAUAGAUAUUACUAGUUGGUAUUUUCUCUUAUCGUGUAUUGAUUAUAUAUUGUUUUCAAUAAUUAAAAAAUAUAUAAUUUUUUUUCUGGACAAGUUCUUUGUUGUUUCUAAGUAAACUUAAUAUUGUAUGUUGUAAUUCACCGUGGCAUUGUAGUUAUUGGUAUUUUCCAAUAAUAAUAAAACAAUAAGAUUGUUUUUAUGUGCGGAGGUUUUUUCUCAGUGUCCAGGACUCGGAAACAAGAUCUCUCCUCGAAAUAGUUCGAUGUAUUACGUAGAAUCACGUCAAUAUAGUUUUAAUUCAAAUUCAAAUGGUACAAUUGCUGUUCGAAUAUUUGUUCAUGAGAUUGAGUGAACUAUUGAACGUUUACAAUUUAAAUUUAAGCUAUUGCAGGGUCCGUUUUCAACGAGUGACUGGAUGCUGGUGGAACGGGUUUCAAAGAGUAUAGACUUCAAUCAAAACAAUUCAAAGAGUACGGGGACCAAAUUAUUAUUUUCAUAUAUUUUUAUUUUUAUUUUUACUUUUCAUCAUUUUAUUGAAGACCUUAACAAAAUAUAGUUCAUGCUCAUUCACUAAUCAAACCCCAAAGAAGCAGGGAGAGAUUAUAUCACAGAAAAGGCUUCAAAAGAGCUGCUAAGCCGAUCAUCCCAAUAUUCACACCCCAAAAAAACACCUCACUCUAGGCCAAUAAAUUAGAGAGGGGCGAUUGAAUUAUCCUUAAUCCUCUGAUAAAUCAUUAAAAAGUUAUGAAACAUACCGUAUUUUCAAUCAUCAAUCCUCAUCGAACAAGAAGCUUUAUAAAAGAGAGUGGUGAUUGGGAGAUGAAAUAAUUGAGCUUGGUAAUUUAAAUCGCAGAUAAGAGAGGGAGGUAAAAGUUUUGCUUUGUCGCAUUCACGAAGUGUAAUCCAUACAUGUUCGAUCAACUUGAGUUUCCCAUCGUUUCUCCAUGACAGACUCUUAAUCUCUAUUUAAUCGAGGACUUCAGCACCCGAUCAGGGCAUUGAAUAGAAUACAGGAUCAAGAAAUCUAUCAACAAAAUAGACAGGGGACAUCUCGAAAUAAAGUACCAGCAGUCAGGAAAGAAUUGCCAAAUGAAAUGAAUGUAACAUAAAGAAACCAAUGUAUAAAUAAGCAUCGAUUUUAAUGAGCUGCACCAUCACUCGGAUAGGACCAUUCUAUAAUCAAGGAAACAACCAAAUUCUUCCAUCAUGACAAUAUACUAGAAUCAUCAACUUUUAUUAUAAUAACAUGCGGCAAUUCCAAAUGACUAAGAAAUACAUUUUUGAAACUCAAAAAAUCAAAUUGAUGAGAUCAUAAAUAGGAAGAUCAUACACUUUUUCCAAACAGUAGUUCCCCUUUCCAUGAAUAGAUCCAAGCCUCUAAACAAACUACAUUGAGAAUUUGAUUGUCUUUAAAACCAUCACAAAAAUAACACAAGCAUGUAUCAAGCCAUCUGCGAAGGGAGUUUCCUUGGCUUUGAACCACAAAUCACUACUGCAUCUAGAAAAGCCAGAAAGGAUAUAAUAACACACAGAAAAUGAAGACUAAUCCAAAAAAUAAAGAGGCGUCAAGCUCCUUAAUCAUACCAGAAGAUCAGUGGAAUACCAUAGUAAAUUUCAAGAGCAGAGUUCUACCAAUUAUACUCUCAAAAUAUCCCAACUCCAUGAAAAGUGUAUUCAUGCUAGUGUUUAAUAAUUGUCUCAUGUUAAGUUAGAGACCUCAAUGAGAACCUAGUCAAAUCCCCAGGUAUCAUAUGAUGUAUACCUAAUAGAACUCUAAAUUAGCUUGAAAACGGCAGGCAUUUUAUCACCCCAAAGAAUAUUCCACAAUGUUUUGAUAGAAAAUGAAAGAUAAAUGCCAGCAUCUCAGAGAAGAAACUUCUUAUUCCUAAUUACAUAAUAACUCAAAAAUGUGUAGUCCUAGUGGUAAAAAUACAAGCCACUUGGUGUUGAAAAAAUGUACUGACAACGUCAUUUCUAUUCUUGGUGCUGGAUUAUUUUAUUUAUGAUCAAAUUCAUUGAUUAGCUUAAAAGUUCUGGUAGGAGAAGAUUUUCAAACCUGAUUUUCCAAUCGCAUUGACAGUAUCAGUGUUGGAUAUGCUUUCUUGGGUAGCAUUAUCUUGCAUUAUCUCUUCUAUCAAAAAAACAAACAAUGUAAACUCAAUUAUCUAGAGGUAAUUGGCCAUUGCAAAUACUUUGAGAUCAUGCACAUGAUCAUCUAUUUUCCUCUUGAAACUUGUAUAUUUGUUGUAGUUUAUUCUCCAAUCAAGAAGGUCAUCUGACAGAUAUAACAAGCAAGAAAUGCAGGCAAAUCUUCCAAAUUAUUAGUUAAUUCACACCACCCAAUUAACUAGAACUUCCCUUGGGAAUAACAACUGAAAAGAAUUCACAAUUCAAUUCAUAAUAUAAAAUCAGAUUAUAUAGCAUGACAUUCAUUCACAUGAAGGUAUACCAUAACUAUUGAAGAAACUUCAGAAAUCAAACAGCGGGACUAGAUACACCAUUAAACCUUUUUGCACAUAACACCUCAUUGCCUUGCCAAAUAACCGAUCAAUUUGUUCCUUAAUACAAUAUGUAUGGAAUUUUCUAUAAAAAAUAUCAUCUUAGCCUCAAUGCAUUACCUUUCGUUUUAUAGGAAAAGAAAGAGGAAGAUCAUGACAAAACAAUAACAGUAAAGAAACCCUGACCAUAUUCUUAAUUUCCAAGGCAUUUCAAUAAAAGGAACACGGUGAGGCUAGGAUUCCCUUUUUACCAUACGAUCAUAAGUAAAGAACAUGAGAGAUGGCUGCAAUAAAAGGCAUUCUGUGCAAAACAAUUAUCUACAAGGACCAGAACAAGAAAAAUCAGAAAACAAAGGGACUAUAUACGCCAUCAAUUCUUUUUGCACAGAACACCUUAUUGCCUUGCCAAAUAACCAAUCAAUUUGUUCCUUAAGACAAUAUGUGUGAAAUUUUCCGUAAAGAACACGGUGAGGCUAGGAUUCCCUUUUUGUCAUACGAUCAUAGGUAAAGAACAUGAGAAGUCAUGGCUGCAAUAAAAGGCAUUCUGUGCAAAACAAUCAUCUAAAGGGACCAGAACAAGAAAAAUCAGAAAACAGAGGGACUAUAUACGCCAUCAAUUCUUUUUGCACAGAACACCUCAUUGCCUUGCCAAAUAACCAAUCAAUCUGUUCCUUAAAACAAUAUGUAUGAAAUUUUCCAUCCGAAAUUAUCAUCCUAGCCUCGUUGCAUUGCCUUUUGUUUUGUAGGAAAAUAAAAAAAAAGACAAUUACAAAACAAUGACAUUACAUAAACCCUAACUGUAUGAUUAGGGUGGAAAGUAUUGCAAGAAGAGAGAAAUUUUCGGCAUUUCUCUCUGGUUUCUGUUUGGGUGCGAAGGACCCGUAAUCAUACAAAUUGAAUUGCUGCUAAUAUUAAAACAAAUCCACGAAAUCAAAAUUUCAAAACCCUAACCCUGGUCUUUAAUUACAACAGAAACAUAAGAAAAAGGGGUAGCAAAGAGAUGAAUGAAUACCGUUUGGUAGGCGUUAAGAGAGAGAGGUGGAAGGCUUUGAUUUUUCGCAGGCGUAAUUAAUUCGACUAGAGCCCGCUCGUAUUCUGGGACCAGAAUUUCCCAUGACGGAGCUGAAACCCUGAUCCUAGAAACUGCCAUAAAAGAAACCGAAGGAAAAGGGAGAAGAGGAGGAAGAGGAGAGAGGAGAGAGGAGAUUUCCGUGAUAUGCCAGGUCAUAUUUGGUGUUUUUCACGUGAUGUUUACGCUGGCAAUGAUUUUACGCUAACUUAAAAUCAGGUCUUUGUGUAUCAAUCCAUUCUAGGCCCGGAUUUUCUAGGCCUUGAAGUCUCCCUGUACAAGGUGAUCCGAUCCACUCAGCUGCAUAGGUCCAAACGAAAACAACCUGGGUCUGAGCCUCUAUUAUCUGUAUGGAGGGCUAAAAAAUGAAAUUGCUUUCAUUCAAAUACAUGCAUCAAUAGCUAAUGACCCUGGGCUAGGUUAGUGUUGAUGUCUUUCCUUUUCCAACGGUUUUCUUGGCAUAUAUUUAGUAAUGUAGUUGAAAUUAUUUUUCUAAAUGGAUAUUUCAUUUGAAAAAAAAUCAUUUUUUAAAUAAUUUACAAUGUGUUUUACGUUCCCACGUCAAGAAUUUUUAAAAUCAUUUGGAAAAACAUGAAAUUAAUAGUUUUUAAAAUAAAAAUUACUUUUAUUUGUCUAUAAACUAAUUAAUAAAGCACGGAAUUCAAUUCUCAUGUAACAAUGAAAAUGAGUAAAUUUUUAGUCUCUUACUGUCUGGUGGAGUAAUUAUCACCCACGUCAUGUCCACCUGUCACAGUCACGAAACCAAUUGAACUGUUUUCUCGAGCUGGUUAACAAAAUAAUGUUUUGUUAAUUAAAAAAAAAAAGAUGUCAAUAAAAUAAUGUUUUGUUAAUUUAAAAAAAAAAGAUGUCAAUAAAAUAAUGUUUUCUAGUCGCUAUUUCAUGUUGGUUAUGUUCCAGUUUUCAAACCAAUCAUCAUUAUGGACACCGCGACAUGGAGAAGGAAGGUGAUCAUACCUGCAGUGGUUAAAAAGACUAAUGAUGCGUGUCAUGAUGUGCCAUAAAAGAAGAUGCACAAACCCAUGAUCCAAGCUUAAACUUUUACUUUUCAAUGCGCCUUUUCCAAUCCCCAGGAGGGUGUCUCAAACAGUAAAAUAAUGGUGAAAGUUGUUUUUUUUUAAAAAAUAUAUAUAUUAAAAUAAAAUAUUUUUUUUAUUUUUAAAAAUUAAUUUUAGGUAUUAACAUAGCAGAAUUUAAAUAAUAAUAAUAAUAAUUUGAAAGAAAAAAAAAACACUCCGGGUCAAUUAGAUGACCAAACACCCUUUAAAAAUCAGUCUUCAACAUUAUCAAUUUUUUUCAAUACUCGAAUUCAAAUCAAACAACCAACGAAGUCGUUUUAUCUGCCCUAUUUCACACGUUGACUUAAACAACAAAGGUUUUUCUUUCCUACGUGGCUGCUAUUUAUUUUUAAACUUAUACAGGAGUUAUAAUCUAAUAAAAAAAAACUAGGUUGAAUUUAAUGUUUUUUUUAUAUAUAUUUUUUUAUCUAAAACAAUGUCCAUUUAGAGUUGAUUUAAAUUAAUUUAAUCAAUCUAAAAUUCAAAUUUUAAGCUAGGUUAAAUUCUUAGCCGAUUUAAAACUAUAAAACCUAAUAUCAACAUAAAUUUGAGAAUACGUGACGAUCAUAAAAAAAAAAACAACAUAAACUAUCCUCUUUCUACAAAUCCAAAUUGUGCAUACGAAGGGUCCACACUUUAACUACCUUGUCCAAGGGUCCACUGGAUCCCAAAUUCCACAACCCCCCCGCUCCUCUUCCGUUCUAUCCGCGGCAGACAAAUAUUUUAAAUUUCUUUAUUUUAUGACCAAAUUACCCCUCCGUAUCUCCCUCAAUUUCUGUCUUGCUCCCCUCACAUAACCUCUCUUUCCCCUGGUAGCACCUCUCUUUUUCUCACAAGUUCCUCUCAGAGUCAAAAUCAAUAUCACUUCACUUUCUCACUGGCCCCAAACAGCAACCCCUUUCUCCCUCUAUUAUCUCCAUUCUGAUUCUUGACACUAAAAAAAAUCACACUCCCCGUCACUAUCAGUUCUCUCAGUCCCUCAAAGCCGGCCUUUGACACCGUCACACACAGGCGGCCCUGUAAGAUUCCGUUAUACAAAACCUCCCUUAAAUUUCGGUUUCGUGGUUGGACUUUUUCUUAAAUACUUUUGAAUUUUGAAAUCCGUCCGAGGAACCUGAUUUAUUAUUCACUAAUCACUGUAGUUUCUGUCUUAAUGGCAAGUUAAUUAAUUCGUAGAUGACAAUUUCAAAAAUAGAAUUCAAUCAUUUAAUUUGCUUUUGGUUUCUUUUUAAUGGACCGAAGUGUCAUUAGAUGUUUUUGACCGUUAGCAGAGCGAGAGAGGAAAGUGAGAACAGUGAACUUUUUUGUAAGUGAAGCUUUCUUUUCCUUUCUUCGCUUCGCUUCGCUUUUUAAUUUCUUUUCUUUGUUUCUUGAUUCUGUUUGGUUCCUUAGAAAACAAAGGAAUGGGAAAGGAUAGAGCAAGAAAAUUGUUCAGGUGCAUGUGUUGAUAUUUUCGUUAAAUUUUCAAGUACCGGCAACUGUGUGAUUUUUCAAUUUUAAUUUGUCCCUUUCUUCCCUUUUUUCAUUAGCUUCUCAGCAGCCAAAAAGCGUUUUUUCCUUUUUCUUUAAAUAGGUGAUUUAAGAUUUAACCAUUUUUCUUUUCUUUUGCCAUCUGUUUCUCAGUCUCUAAACAGUGUCAUCUCUUUCUCUGUUCUUUUCUUCUGUACUUUACUUUCUCUGGAAUUGUAAUUGAAUCUUCUUUUUCGUUAAUCACGAUGUUGUUUGAUUAUUAAAGGCUUGUAUAAUAUUAGAUUCUUCGUGUCAGAUUUGUGUAAUUUUUUAAAGGGUGGUGGUUAGAUUGGAGACGAGGUUUUUUUUAGGGUUUUUGAGAAUUGAAAAUGGUGAGGGUAGUCUGGUAUUUUUAAGGCAUAGCUCAGUGCUAAGGAUUGGAUCACAAGCCCUGACACGUGCAUUUGAUAAUCGUUUUUUUUCUGUUCUCUGUUUUUUUUUAUUAAUUAAUGCAAAUUUAUAUUGCUGAAUUUGAUGUCUGCUUUCGUGUUUAUUGCUUCUUCUACAUUAAAUAACUGACAUGUUUUUUUCUCUAGGUAUUCAUUUAUUUUCUGCUUGUGCGUGUGGGUGUCUAUAUUGUGUUGCUAUGUGAAAUCCGUUGGCUCUUGAUGAAUAAUUAUCCGAGAAAGUUAUUUAUUCAUGAAUGCUCUAGGUUCUCUGUUUUUUUAUUUUAUUUUUAUUUUUAUUUUGUUCAUGUUUGCCCGUUUGAUUUUGAAUGAAGGGCAAAGAAGUACUCUAAACUUAUUGUUUUAAUUCAAGUAUUUAUUAUAGCAAUUGAAUCUGACCAUCUUUUGGAUCUUGGGUUUGAAAUUAGUUUCAGUUAUGUAUUUUUGGUAUAGGACUGUCAUGUUUUUUUUGGCUAUAUGUAUCUCAGGUUUCUCAAAUUGUUAAUUGGGUUUUGUACCUGUUAACGUGAUGGUUUGGAGUACCAAACCUGUUUAUUUAUGCUUUUAGGGUUUUCCGGUACGAAUUCAUAAUUAGACCACCUUGUUGUGUGCUUUCUUUUCACUUUUUUAGAUAUCUUAAUCUUGAUGUGGUGGCUUGUGUGUGUGGGUGGGGGACUGGAAUCCUAGCUUAGUGAAUGUGCCAUGAGGUGUGGGUACUGUGUAGUUUGUGGACUAAUGACCAUUGUCCUUUUAUUUGCUUUAUACUCGUCCACACUCUUGAGUAAUCUCAAUGAUCAUUAUGUGUGUAUCGAGUAAUAUCAAUGAUCAUUAUUUGUGUAUGAGUUGCUGCAUUCCUUUUCAGAUAUUUCUUUGUAAGAUUUUAAUCCAGGUUUCCCCUUCUAAUUUCUUACAUAAUGUAAUUUCAGGUUCAGUGAGAUCCCUUCUGUCUGAAGACUGAUAAAGCACAGGAUUGUGAGCUACCAUUUUUCAUGAGCUACAAAUAGCAGUUCUAGUUUGAGAUAGACAGAUGAAGAAACUAUUCUUUUUUAGAUCUUCUUCCUCCAAUGAUGGAAACAACAAUACCAGUUCUCCACUGUCAGCAGAUAAGCAAGUUUAUUGGGAGGCACCAUUGGAAGGCAAACCAAACAAUCAAGAUAAUGAUAAUGCUCAGUGUAAUUUUUGGAGCCCCAGGGGACUAUUUUCAAAAUCUGGAAAGCAAACAUAUGAUAGCCAGAUCCCAAGCAACAGUUCGGGUCUUAGAAGGAGCCGCUCGUUGUCAUCAGCUGCCUUUCUUGAUGAUGGGAUGGGCCAGAUGAAUUUUUCUUGUACAAAUGAUGAAACAAUAUCUUCUUCUAGCAGUUCCAGUGGUGCUCAUCAGCAACGUGAUCACUCAUCUCGGUGAGACUUUUGAUCUCAUUAACAUCAAGUUAUAAGGAUUCAUUGACACCAUUUAAUGAUCUUGAAUACAAGCUUGUUUGCAUAGCUCUUCUGUGCACUUUUUAUUUGAAUUGCUUCUUGAGAUUAAUUCAAACUUUUUUCUGAUUUAUGACAGUAGGCGCAAUCUUACUCCUGAGAGGCGAGCCAAGACAAAGCGAUUUGAAGUGGCAGCUACUGGACUAGAGAGAUCUGGUCAUUCCAAAUCUCAUUAUGAUUCGUCAGGAAAUUCUUCUUCUAGUAAUGUCUCAAGUAAAAUUGUGGAUCGCUACAUUGAUGGAGAACAGGAGCAGGAAAUGAGCAAGCCCAAACACUGUUCACAGAGAAAUUUUACUGGAAGUGGAAAUGCUGGUGGAAGACUUCCUCCACGAGUUCAAUACACAGCCCCUGCUUCACCAGCAGAUAACAUCAAAGAUAAGCCCAGGUCUCACUCAUUUCGGGAAUUUAGAGGGGCUCGACAGAAGUUUUCUUCAAGAAAUUGGGUGGAUAAGGGAUUUGGCCAUGAAUCUCCACAGAAACUUGCAAGGAAUGUCAUGGAGAGGCUCUCCCAGGCUCGUGCUUAUCCAAAAUCAAGUUCUAAGAAGUAUGACCGUGACAUUCCUAUCACAAUUGAAGAUGUCUACGGUGGAUCAACGAAUUCAUACAUGGAUGUUCCUGCCCGAAAAAGCUACUCAUUGGAGGAACCUUGUGAAACCAUUAACGGUUACAAUGGUGAUGAUUUCUCAGGCUUUCAGAAGCAAAAUUACUUCCUUGGAGAUGAUUUUGGGGAUAUGAACUCUGUUGGUAGUGAUGACAUGGUAGAUGUUGAACUACAACGAAGAUCUAAAGAAGCUGAGGAGAGGAUUGCCCUUCUUUCUGAAGAGCUUGAGCAGGAAAGCUUUCUCCAAGAUAGUGGAUUUGAUGUUCCACCAUUGAUGCAAACUAUUCAAAGCUUAAUAGAGGAUAAGAUAAGCUUGGCAAUUGAAGUUUCAGGUCUUCUGAAAUCUCGAAUUGCUGACAGGGAUUCUGCCAAGGAAGGUUUUCGAUUAGCAAAGGCAGAAUGGGAGGCAAGGAACCGAAGAUUAGAGAAGGAGAAGAGUGAAUUGCAGACAGCUCUGGAGAAAGAAUUAGACAGAAGGUCGAGUGACUGGUCAUCAAAGCUUGAGAAAUACCAGCUAGAAGAGCAAAGGCUUCGUGAACGGGUUAGGGAGCUUGCAGAGCAUAACGUUUCACUCCAGAGGGAAGUAUCUUCUUUUAGUGAGCGGGAAGCGGAAAACAAAAGUGUGAUAACAUAUUCCGAGCAACAACUCAGGCACCUGACUUCAAAGGUGGAGGAAGUGAGUGAUGAGAAUCAAGAUCUGAAACACAAUCUUUCUGAGCUCCAAAACAAGUAUGCAGUGGCAGAAGAAGAUUUAGAUUGUAUUAAAAGGAAUUUUGAAGAGAAGAACAAGGAGUGCAAGGAUUUGCAUAAAUCCAUAACAAGAUUAUUAAGAACCUGCAGCGAUCAAGAGAGGACGAUUGGGGGGUUGCGGGAAAAAUUUAGUGAGGAUAUUGAGAAGAAGACAUCAUUUGACAAGUUUGAUAAGCAUGUGACACAAAUGCAAAUGGAGCAAAUGAGGUUGACAGGAGUUGAACUGACUCUCAGGAGGGAGGUGGAAUCUUGUAGGCAUGAAAUUGAUUCCCUUCGACAUGAGAAUAUAAACUUACUGAAGCGCUUAAAGGGUAAUGGUGAAGAGGUUGGUGCUUUAACUUUCAAGCUAGAUAAGGAAAUGUGGACACGUGUUUGCUGCCUGCAAAAUCAAGGAUUGUCUUUGUUAAAUGAGAGCAUCCAGCUUUCUGCUAAGUUAAUGGAAUACAUCAAAGGGAAAAUGGGCCACUUUCAAGAAUUUAAGCAGGGUAUGGAAGUUUUGGGGAAUGGUUUAGAUGGGCAGUUUAUUGUUGAAUCUGAUAUGAAAGUUCAGGGCUUUAAGCGUGGAACUGAAAGCCUAACAAGGAGUUUGCAGACAAUAUCUUCUUUACUUCAGGAGAAGUCCAAUCCUGGUGCUUCAAAAUCUCAUUCCCCAAGCAGUAAUUUCGAUGGCUCUGAGAAACUUAAUCAUACUCCAGAGGUAGGUUGCUGUUUAAAUCUGUUCUUGUAGCAUGUGUUUCUUUUGAUUUCUGUGGGUGAUGGUCAUGAUGCAAAUAUUUUCAUUUGAUCUUUAAUUUGGGUAUUAAAAAGUUUACUGUUCAUAAACUUGCUUUCAACCCUUAGUGCUAUCAUUGAUGUUCUCUUUCAUCUUCACAGGAAUCGUUGAGAUUCGAGCUUAAAGCUGAAGCUUUGCUUACAAGUCUGUUAAGAGAGAAGCUGUACUUCAAAGAGUCGGAGGUCGAGCAGUUGCAAGCUGAAAUAGCAGCAGCAGUGAGAGGCAACGACAUCCUCCGAUGUGAAGUCGGGAAUGCACUGGAUAACCUUGCUUGUGUCUCUCAUCAGCUGAAAAAUCUUGACCUUCAGGUAUUCCUAGAUACCAACUCUGCAGCAAAAAUCUUACGUUACAUAUCACUUUAUAUGUUCAUUUACACAGCGUGCUUUGCCAACAUUGCUUGUGUGAAAUGCAUGUACAAAAACACUUAAUUGUAAGAUGAUGCUUCAACUUGACGGGUUGAAUUCUGGGUUGAUUUGAUCAGCUCGUAAUGUUCCCUAAGCUCUUUUCUGUGCAUGAUUGCCUAACCUGUGAUUUUGGUGAGAUGGGCUUCUGUAAGCUGAAAUCUCUGUUGUGGAGGUGAAGUGAUGUGCUGGCCCUGUGUAGCCUGUGAUGAUUGAAAGUUCUUAUAAAGCAAUUUCCUUCAUUUUCGAUGAAUGGUGAAACUGGCAUGAGGUCAUUUUCUGCCCUCAUUUUUCCACGAUUGUUUUUUAUUGCCAUUCUUAAAACCAGUUUGGUGUCGAUCAUUAUCCUUUAAUUUUAAAACAAUAUAAAAAUUGUUAUUUUAAAUGCCUGCUUUUUGUUGUUUUUUCUUUCAGUUUAGUUUCUUUGCUAUGACAUGAUUCAAUGUUAAUGUACAUUGAAAACUAACUUUGUUAUGAUGGACAUCUUUGACUUCACUGACUUGUUCACUCCUUUUUAUUCUUUGGUCCAUAUUGUGAUCGGCUUUGCAUUUUUUUGUCAUAUUGCAUGAAAACAAUUGCCACUAAAACAAUUUAAAAUUUUUUCCUUUUUUAGGAUACCAAAAGCCAACAACAUAUGAUCUUUUGGCACAGCAGUUUGUCAGACCAGUGAUAAUUUUGCAUUUUUUUACUUGUAUUUUAAGUUUGGAGAAAUCAGCAAAGAAGUAUAAUGAAGUGUUGUACCCGAUUUGCUGUAUGAUGUCUCUUUGUAACUUCAUUACUUGGGAGCUAUUGUUAGGCCUUAAGAUUUGGUUACCAGUGUACAGUUAGAACAUUUGAAUUUUUUUGUUUUUUCCUUAAUAAUUAUAUCUCAUAAGAAAUAGAGCUUGUCGGUAACUACAGCUGUCUUAUUAUUUUUUUUUGUCUUGGCUUUUUGCAGUCCUAUAGUGUAAGUAAUGUUUUUGUCUUUUUUAACAGAUGCUGAAGAAGGAUGAGAAUGUAGAUCGGCUACGAAGUGACCUCCAAGCAUCCGUGAAGGAAUUAACAAUGAUUAGGGGGGUAUUGGCCAAAGUUUCACAGGAGAGAGAUAUGAUGUGGGAGGAAGUGAAGCAGUACAAAGAGCAGGAUAUGCUAUUGAAUUCAGAGAUUAAUGUAUUGAAGAAGAAGAUAGAGGCCCUAGAUGAAGAUAGUCUUCUUAAAGAAGGUCAGAUCACAAUCUUGAAAGACACCCUAGGUAGCAGGCCUUUUGAUCUCCUUGGCAGUCCUAGUUGUACACGAGAAUUCUUGCUAGAAUGAUUGCGUGGGAACAACUUUUUUUUUCUUGGGUAGGGUGUGCAGGCACGUACUGUUUAUAGUUUGAAAUUGUGUUCUUGGGGUUUCUUUACAUUUCUUAUACUUUCCUUUACGUCAUUUCCUUACUGCAAGCUUUGAUGGGUAAAGAUGUUAAAGCUUCGAAAAAUCUACACACCAUGAUUCAUUGUGUAUACGUAGUUGGUUUCCUCGUUCCCUUAUAACUAUGAAUAGAUCUUUGCAAUUUUAAUUCUCUCUCUGUACCAGUGUGUCUGUGCGUGGUCCAGCUUGUUCACUGUGUAAUGGCAGGAGCAGGAGGAAUGGGUUCUGAUUCCAUGGUCGAUUUUCUAUCUUGCCAAUUUGUUUCCAAGUUUUUGUAAGAGUACAGUAUACUUCAUAUUGUCUGGUGUUUGGUUUUAAGCUUCAAGAUGUUCUGAUCUCAUCUUGAACUAAUUAUUUAAUCUCGAUUCCCUUGCUAAAAAUUUGCUGGCAAAUACAUUGGGACCUCAGGAUCCAACCUAGAAUCAGCAAGUCACAGGUCUGACGAUGGUAGCAUCUUUUCAUUAAUGACAUAUCCCUAAGACACUGGACCUUUGUUUAAUUGUUGACACAAUCGUGUUGUUGCUUGUAAUGGAAUUCGUUAGGAGCCGACGUUGUGUAAUUGUUGGUGUCCCUGCCAUUAAUUGGAUAGCAUUAUAUUUUAAACUUUGAUGAAUGUGGCGCACCACCUAGAAAUGGCUAAAAGGGUUUGUUAAGUUUGCUGCAUCUCUGGCUGGAUUCCACACCGUCCUUCUGCGGGAGGAUAGAGGCAGACAUUAUGUAAAACAGAGGCUAAGCAAAUGCUCCGAGAUUCUAUAGAAAAAGAGUUCAACGGGCCAGAACUUAAUUGUAUUUUUCUCAAAAAGUAACACGGACUGGCUUUGGAGGUAAAAGCUUGCAUGAUUCUACGUUUUAAAAAUAUUUUUAAGAAAGUUUUAAAAAAAAAUUUAUUUUAAAUUACUAUUUUUUUAGAUAUUUUUAAAUUAUUUUAAUGUAUUAAUAUUAAAAAUAAAAAAAAUAUUAUUUUAAUAUAUUUCAAGCAAAAAACAUUUUAAAAAAUAUCAUAACACCAACAUCAAACACAUACGUGCUUUAAGCUCAAGGAAAUAAAUUAAGUAUACGUGUGUGAUUUUGAAAAAUACUCUCAUCUUCCAUCUUCGUGAGGUAGUCACUAGAACUUCCAGUUAGUGCUAGAAAAAUUAAUUAGAAAUGUUUUUCAUUUUUUAAAUCAAGCAACGAGUUAGUCUUAUAAGGUCAUAUUUAUAGAAAAAUUAUAUUACAUACAAUAAAAGAUAAAAGCUACGCCAGAGUGCAUUAGGUUUCGAAGGUUGCAAAGUGAGGCAUAAAACCUUCUUUAGAAUGACAAUAAUCCAAGCCAUACCAGACAUUUUCAGGCACAAAUGUUCUAAAAUAGAACACAUAAGAAACUGGUACUAAAGCACCGCUGCUUUCUUGAUGAAGCACCUUGACCCAUCCUGGUCUCCAAUCAUCAGUACCAACUUUCUUAAGGUACAAUGAGCACACACUUUGCUUCAUGCACGUUCCACUUGCCUCAAACAAGUCUAUGGCACAUCUUUCAAAUCCUCCAUACGCACCACCUUGUUUCUUAAAACCCUUUGGAGCAUAUAACAGCUUGGGGUUCUUUAGAUGCUUCACUAUGAUCAAGUUCCCUGCAGAAUCACUGAACCUAACACUGAUGUGAUCUUUAGUUUCAGCAGAUGGAGCACAAGUUGUUUCAAUCUCAAUUGAAUAUGAACAGUUUUUUGAUGAUGAUCCUUGGAAGGUGACAUUCGUGGCUUGGUUUAAAAUGCCCAGAGAAGAAAUUGUAAUGGCUACGAUGAAAAGGAUCGGAGAGCUUGUUCUCCUCAUCGAAAAUUGUUAUCUUGGUUCUAGCUAGUCUUCGUGUCGAGGUCAUGCAUAUAUAUUAUUGGUUUUGCUAGGAUAUAAAGAAGAGGGGACAUAAAGGAUCACUAAAAAUGGCUUUGAUUUCGAUAAAGGCAGGCAUUUGUGGCAGUGUAAGUGGGCUACUUUGAGAAAGAAGAGGGGAUCCCUUUCACUUUCAGUCGUGAAACGCUAUCUUCUAACUGUUACAGAUUCCGAGACUUGAAAAGAAAUUCGGUGGCAUCCCUUUCCAAAGAUGGAGCAUAAUUUUAAUAUGGGACUAUUUUAGAUGCCUCUUGUCCUACGAGUUAACAAUGAUAUUACAUCUCAGUUAUUAAACCAUAUGAAAAUAGUAUUAGCUUCGAGAUAGGUGAUUACUAAUAAUAUGGUAGUCAUUGAAGACUUAUAUAAUCAUUAACUUCAAGACCCAUAGAAUUAGUCGAGAGACACAUAAGUUGCCCAAACACCCGUAUUAAUAAUAAUAAAAAAAAACCUCUUCUAUUCUUUUUCUCGGACAUAUACCACAAUAUUGCGCUCACUUUUUCUUCUUUUUUAACAACACGAUUUAAGCUUCUAAAGUAGGAGAAUUAGUGAUAUUUUUCAAUGAUCCAGCUCUGGCACUAAAGCACAUAUUACUGCCUAUAAUUAGUCACGGGAAAGUGUCCAUGUUCAUCAUCGAGUUCUCCAAUUAGCUGUUGAAUAAAAAAUUAGGUUGGUUAUACGCUUUAACCCUGAAAACAGAAAGAGAGUUAGCACCUGGUCCUGGUCUGCAAAGAAGACAGGCCUAUAUAAGCACAUCCGUCUCGGGCUCAGGCUAGUCUUGGGCCUGAAGAGGCUUCAGACCCAUGACUACCCAUAGUAGAUAUUUCUUUCCCUCUAAAUUAAUGGUUGGCGCCUUGGCGGCCUCAAAUCACAUCUCUCUCUCUCUUUCAUACACGUAGAAUUAGUUGUUACUUCUAUCAAAAAAUAAAAGAAAAAAACCUCGGGCUGGUAUAUCAGCCAUACCGAGCUCAGUGGUGAGUGGUCGAUUCUUGCAAAGCAAGAGAGCGACUUUUGAGUUCAGAUCCCACCUUUGCCAACAAUGAAGCAACGUGAAGCAUUGCAAAUAGCAAUCCCAUCCAUUAUUGCAUCUAAGGCCCCUGCAUGACAAUAUCAAUUCCACCCACAGUUGUAUCAUAAAUCAUGCCAUGUUAACAAUCAAUCCUCCCUACUGAUAAAUCAAAGGUCAAAACCGUUUUUUCCCCAGCUCCAUGUGAUGCAAUAUUCCCUUUGGCAUGGGAAUCAACAGAAUCCUUCAAAGCACCGAGGCGAGGCUGUCCUGAACACAAAACAACCCCUAACUUAUCCUUGUGCGAGUGUUCAUCGGUAGGCGUUUGACCAGGCGGAGUCUGGACAGUUUGCUCAGGUACCGCUUCAGUAGGAACUUCAGUGGCGUCCUCCUGCUCAGCCUCUCGACUAUCAUCAUUGGGAUGUGAAGGUUGAAUAUGUUCUGAUGGUACAAGUAGGCACACUUGCUUCCCAGCUAUUGCAGACAGAACAGUCUCCUUAAAUCUGGCCAUGUCAGCACUCAUUUUCUCCAUGUAAAACAUCACAUCCUCUCGAAGUUUCACCAUAUCUUUACGCAAUUCGGCAAGUUCUUUAUUCUUUGCAACCUGCAGCACGAAACAAAUCCCAAUUGUCAAUGCUUGUUUAUAUUGGUAGAUGAUGCAUCAUAGAAGGGAGCAUCUUACAACUCACCGUAACACUGUGUGAUGCCAUAGCGGAAACACCUCUCGUAACCAGUUCAACCUAUUUGUCAGAAAAAAAAAAAAAAAGAGGUUGUUUAUUAAAGAAAUUCCAGAGCUUGUAAGAUGUUUAGUAGGGUAAAUGGAAAGCAUGAAUUUGAGAAAGGUGCUCUAAUGCCUACCUUAUCACUGUCCAUACCUCCAAGCUUGUAUACCUUCUCAAACACGAGACUUUUGGCAUCUUCAUCCCAAUCACAAAUCCGAGGUGCUAGUCCACUUGCUCUUGGUAAUUUAAUUUGGCCAACAUUGACAUGCUCCAAGUAAAAGAUCUGCACAAAAAUGCAAGUGUAACUAUAGAGAAGCAAGAUCACAACUAAUUUGAAGUUGUGCGCAUCAGAAGUCUAUAAACGAAUCCACCAACCAAUACAAUCAUACCUCUAAAAUGAGAAGACACCCAGUCAGCCGCUUAGCUUUGCUAGGCGCAAAAUCGGUCUCGCGAUAUUUCUUAAUUCCACUAACAAGGCCCUCCAAUGCAUAUUUUGCCCAAUUGAGAGCGCAAACAAUUGAGAGAUUUUUCAAGAUGCCAAAGCAUGAUGGACUGACAUAUACAGAUGUGCUAGGCCGUAUCACAGUAGAGAUGGCAUACAGAAGGAAUUUUGCUUGAAACUCAGGACUGGCAGGGAUUGAAGCCAAACCAUCCCCUAGCUGACCAGCAUGAAUUCGAUCUGAACCAAGGUUGUACAUCAUGCGGACAUCCUCGUCAUUUCCAAUAAAUUGCUCCACGCUAAGCCCAGACGAUGGCAGACCCAACAGCCACUCGACUCCACCAGGAGUUAAUUUCAAUCUCCCUCCAUGAACCUCUAACUCACAAGAUUGUAUGUCAAACCUGGCAGCAAGAUCUUCAAUCACUUGGAACUUCCUUUUUUGCUUUUUAAUAUGCAAGAGCCCAGCAAGUCCAAGAGCAUUAACUGCUUGAAUCUGAUCUUGAUCAAACAUUUUGACAACUGCUGCAAACUUUCUCAACGAACACCGGGAAUCAAGAUAUGCCUGGAUGGUCAAAGGAACCAUUAAAAAGUUAUGGCACUUAGGCUUUGCCCAAGAUCAAAAUUAAAAAUCAUAUUUGGAUAACUAGUUAAAUCUUCAUAAUUUUCAGCAGGCAAGCCCCAACCCAAAUUACCUUCUUUGGUGCUUCAGGGCGCUCACCUCUCUCUUUUACAUGAUUUUUCCAAGCAUCUUUCACUGCAUCUUGGAAUGGUCUCUUCUCCUCCUCUGGGAGUGACUUCCAUUGCUUUGCGACAUUCUUUGGAGCCUGAAUCCAAAUCCCCCACCCCCAACCGAUAAACCAGUAAACACAAUUGAAAUAUUCUGUUGAAGCAGUCGUGACAUCUAAAUUUCACGCAGAAAAGCUUACUUCAAACUUCUUGUACCUUCAAUUUCUUCUUCCCCCUAUUUUCCCUCUCUCCAUCCAAUCCUUUGCUCAAGCUAGAAUCACAAACACUCAUCUAGUUAACACAAACAAAAUACAAGUUGCCUAAUAAAGGGAUCAACUUUUUAUUCUUUCCAAACUCACUAAUAUUCAAUGAAGCUGUUGUGAGGCCGCUUUUUUGAUGUGCAGGAUUCGUCCACCUCUAUUUCAUUUGCAUUCUGCUUGCAUUUCUCAAGGGAAUUGCGUUGUGCUCCAGUCUGCGAGGCACUGGGAUAAAGUAAACCCAAAAAUAUGCCAAGUAAUCAUUGUUAGAAACACCUCAAAGCACCGGUUUUAAGUGAAACAACCAACUAUUCAAUAGAUUUUAACAAACCUUGGCUCUGCAUUAUCGGAACUUGAUGCAGCCGCUGCAUUAACACUUGGACUUUCUUGGGAAUCUUCACCACCAUCCAUCACUGUGAUGAUUAAGAUCACCGUUGAAAUAAUUUUUCAAAUAAAAAGCUUAUCUCAUUUCAGUUUCAUGCAUUUAUUCUCAUAAAUUCAGUUAUUUCUGACAAAAAACAGCUGAAGGCGACGUUAAUGCAAUUCAAAAAACAAUAAGAAAUCCACAAUUUGAAUUACACUCUGCAUUAAAGCAUGAACAAAAAAUCCCUCAAAAGAAAAACCCGCAAACCAAAACGUAAUUAACUAUCAAAUCCAUGUUUAUUUAGCGAAAUUAAAGUGAUUGAACAUGUAUCCAGAAAGGAAACGUGACAUGAGAAGAACCUAAAUGAUAAUUGAGCAGCCAAUUUGCUAUAUAAGAAAACACGCACCUGGUAUGUUAGAGGAGAAGGUGGCGCACGGUGAAGAAGAGACAGCGAAAGUAUCUGAAAACAAAAGUGAGAGUCCAAUCGAAUGAAUCUCAGUUUCAGUGUUUUUGCCAAAACGAAAGCCCUCUGCUGAUACAUUCGUGAGUUACACUACCCGAAGGCCAUUUGUCGUUCGUCAUUGCGCUAGUUUUUACAGUUUAGUUUGAAAAGGUGGAUUUGAUAAUAAAAAAAAUAUAUAAAUUGUAUUUUUUUUAAUUAAGAUUUAGAUGAUUUUUUUGAUUAAAUAAGUAUUUUUAAAAUUAUAGUUAAUAUAAAAUAUACUACCAAACAGAUUACUCUUGAAUGACACGUCAUCGGGAAUCACAAUCUUAGCCCUCAGGAAUGCCAAUUUGUCCCGGCCCAUCAGGUAACCGCUCCGAUCCGUCAGGAAAACAAGUUCGUGUGCCCAGACCCAUACGAGCCACAUCCCAGCCCAAACAAAUCUUUUUAGUUUUAUCAGUAGUGGGCCAUUGAUGGGGCCUCGGGCCACCACCUCUGCUCCCCGUUCGACAAAAAUAAAUUGCUUUUAGGUGAUUUUUAUAGGUCUUGCUUUUGCUUCGGUGGUUGACAAGUAGCAAUCCAUGAAUAAGACUUGGAUAUUUAUCUAAUGUUUUUUAUGGUUCCUAAUUUCAACGGUUGAAUAGUCGUUUUUUAAAUAAUUAAAAGGAAUAUCGAUGGAGCCUCGAACUCCCAUCUGUAUUCCCUGUCGAGCUAAAUAUAUAGUUUUUUAUCUAUUUUAUUAUUAUUCCUGGUUCGAGCAUUUUAGUAAUAUUUUCUUAUUUUUCAAACAAUUAAAUAACAGUUUUUAUUUUUCAUUGUUAUAUGUAUAUUAAAUCAAUAUACUAUAUUUUGUUUCAUGUUAAAAGCACCCCUUCAUAACUCCAAAUUCCCCAAUAUAUUAUAGUUCAUCAUGUAAUACACCAGCCAUCAUAUAAAUUACCUAAGAAUUAGUUAUUCCAGCACGGGUCAAUAUAUAAAAUAAUAAAAAAGGUUGGUGUGUGCAGGUUGCCUUGUCACAUUCAAGUGACUCAUGCGACGGUUUAAGGUGGCAAAAAAUGGCCUUCUAGUGUGUUUUUUGGCUUGGCAUUGGUUAUCUAUAUGGGCGGCGCGUGCAUUAUAGCUCCAUUUGAUUCAAUACUGAUUUGAUUUUUUUAUCUUUCUCUUUUCCACUCUCUGUAUCUCGAUAAACGUGAUAUCACUAUAAAAAUCACAACUCUUCAAUUUAUUUAUUUCUUUUUAGUCUCUUUUAUUUUAAUUUACAAUUCUUUUAUUUUAAUUGAUUAUUUUAUAUUAAAAAUUGUUUUCAAUUUCAUUAUCCUUCAAAUCUUCAUUAUUUUUAUUGUUAUUUUUUAGGUGAUUUUUCAAGUUGAUUUUUUGUUGCAAUUUCAUCCUCCAUCUUUUUUUUCUUGUCAAGUUUGAUCUUUAUUUUUUUUAUUGUUUUUUUUUUUGCUUUGAUAAUUUUUUAAUUUCAUCCCUCAAUAUUAAAUUUAUUAUGAAUUGAAUUUCUUUAUUGAACCCGUUAUAUGAUUUCACACAUUGUAAAUUUAAAAGAUUAAUCUAGGCAUAGAUGAUUUGGCCAAGUUUAUUUGCUUUUUCAUAUUAUUAAAAUAAUUGAGCUUUUUAAACCAGUUGACUCAAUGAUCCAAGUUUAUAUAUAUUUUUUAUUUAUUUCAUUCUUCAAUGUUAAAUUAGGUGGGAGUGGGCUUAUUUAUUGAACCUGAGUCUAAUAUUUUACAGGCUUUGAAUUUAAAAAAUUAACAUAUACUUAGAAAAUUCACUUGAGAUUACUUGGUUUUUCAUAUUAUUAAAUUAAGAUUGUCUUUUUUUUAACAUGUUAUUGAAUUAAAUGAUAUUAUAAAACACGUGCAACUCAAUGACCCAAGUUUCAAAAAUUUUUAUUUAUUUGAAAACACUUACGUCGCCUUAACUAUUUUUAAUGUUAGGUUAAAAUUUUCUCGGCUCGCGGUGUAGCGCCAAUUACCAAUAUAGGUUUAAUUGAGUUGCUUUUUUGGAUCCUUUUUCUAGAUUUAAUAUUUUUAUAUGACCUUCAAUAUUUGGUUCAUAAUGAUUGACUUUCCUUAUUUAUCUUGGUAUAGGUUCCAUGGGGUGAUCACAUUUUCCUCCAUUAAAUCGCAAAUUUCACAGGUUAACCAUGGUUGACUCGAGUUAAUCCAAUAUGUUACCAUCUCAAUAUAUAUAUUAAAUAAUAUGUCAUCCAAUAUAUUAAUAUUUCAGUAUUUUAGAAGUGUUUAUUUAUCUAGCAUGCAUUAAAUUUUUUACUUCUUAAUAUCUUUAUAUUUUUUUUAAGACUAGAAAAAAAUGAUUUAAUCUUUGGCCUAACACAAGUCGAAAAACUACUUGUCUCUGUACCACAUAGAAAACGGGGCUAGAAGGAUCAAAAACUUUGUAUUAACAUGUUAGAAAAAAUCAACCCAUCCCUAGUCGGAUGAAAACCUACACUUGAGCUGGGUUAUACUUGUUCCGGUCCAAAGCGACCGGAUGAAAGCAAAAACCCAAUCCUACCCGCUACCAAUCUCUCAAGACAAGCCUAUUGUUUCAAAGACGCCUUGUUUAUCCACUCAAUUUGGCAUAACGUGACUUUAGCACCCUCGCUAUAUUCUGGAGUCUCUUUUAUUACAGUAGUCUCUUCUACCACAAUGCUGUCAGAAUUCGGAUUAAUUCGUCUUCAAAGUUCAAACUAUGGAUGAUAGACAACAAAUUACAGAGACAUGUCCGCUGAUAAAUGAGACGACCGGUCCUUGAAACAUACAACGGCAGGAAUCUGAUGCAGCUUGUCAGAUUAUCUGAAUAAUAGUGCACGCGCUUGGAAGGGCAUAAUUUUCAACAAUCAUAGAGAUGCAGAUUCCAGAAGUCGAAGGCCUUUCAUUGCAAAACGAAAGCCCUUUUAUGCUUUCUCCUUCAAACCCCUUUAUACAUCAGGAGUUGCAAACUUGCAAGUUGCUACCAUAAUCCACAACAUUUACUUGACAUAUCCACAAUAACAGAAGGAAAAUGUUACAUUCAAAUCCUUGCAUGAAGUAUCGAAAUAUUCGAUGAAUAUUUUGUAGUUCCCGACAGUACACAGAUGUGAUUAAAAAGGUGAGCAUAAUUUAAGCAGGCAUGCUCACUGACAAAUGGCAUCUGAACUUAUUUCCAAAUUCCAACUUAUUCUUAAUAACUGUAUCAUCCUUGAUAUGCAAGCAAGGAUAUAGAUGACUGUUCCUUGAAUCAUACGGUACAGCAUGAAUUUGAUGCGAGUUGGCAUGUUGUCUGGAUAAUAGCAUGGAUGGACGGGCACAAUCUUCAACAAUCAUAAAGAUGUAGCUUUCCAGAAGUCGAGGGGCUUUCUUUGCUGGAAGUAUAAGAGAUUGCAUUUCUUUACAAACAGGAAAACUCGCAUAAAUAGAAUGAUGGACACACCCACACAUCAUUGUAACAUGGAUUCACAUGCACAACUUUUAAAGCAUUAAUAUACAAAAGACUCGCGAGACCACACACACUGACACGGUGACACCUGCAUCUAUGUAAGCGCAGGACACAUGCAUGCAUACCAAGCUGAGUUAGAGUAUACAGAUGCUCACAAGCUCUAAUUCUAGCAGUGGAGGAUGGACAUGGGGGAGGCCAGUUGCUAGAUUAACAGGCGAUACCAGGCACUAUGUAGCGCAGGCACAUUAGGUUAGACCCCAAGUAGGAUAUAGUUCAACAUCAAACCAACCCAGCCUGAUAGAGCCCCGGCAUGCCACAAUUCACAUCUAGAAUUCCACAAUUUCAGGCGAAUCAAAUAAAUCAAGCACAAGCACAAGCACCAACACCAGCAGCGUGGACCUGGUCCAUAAUUUAAGUGCUUGUCCCUAACCUCCAAAGCAGAUAGCCCAUCAAAUCCAAGCUCAACUGUGCAAUAUGCAUGUCUUUCCACAUCAAAUCUCUCUGAGGCUUGGGCUACUAUUGAGACCUAGAGGGCUGUCUUGCUAUUUCAACACACCCGUGUUUGCUAUUUCUUCCCCUCCAAAUUUAGUUGCCUUAAGUACUUGUUAACUUUUAAUCAGUCUCAUAUCCUAGAAUUGAACAGGAUAAAGUUACCUUAGCGAUUGGUAUUUUUGCUCGUACUGAAUCAAUCAAUGAGAAAUCAAUAUCAGCCACAGCAAUCCCUGUUGAAAUGCGGUCUGCAAAGUAAAAGAGAAUCAAAUUAGUAAUCAGUAAAUUCAUCAAACAAGCUAAUGGGAUAUAAACCAAAGUACACAGCACAUGCUAUAAAAGCACCACAAGCUAGAGAAGAAGAAAGGAGAGUGGGAAAUUAUCGACGAGUCCAUUGGAUGAAAAAAAAAACAUGUAAUGCAAAUAGAAAUGAAUUCACAAUAGACUCUUCAUUCUGGAUAAGAAGAAGCACUAGAAUGAGAGACAUUAAUUCUCACCAGGCAAUCGACCAACAACAGUUCCCCAAGGAUCAAUUAUUAACGUGUCACCAUAGCUUUCUCUUUUAUCAUUAUGCUCUCCAGCUUGUGCAGCAGCUAUUACCUGAUAAAGGGGAAAGAGAAUUAUUACCAAGCUUGCAUGGUUGACCCAAAAUCAUAAUUCAGCUAAGAUAAAAAUGAAUUCAUACAUAGCAUUGAGUCUCAAUUGCACGAGCACGAAGCAAAAUCUCCCAGUGCGCCUGACCAGUUAUUUUUGUAAAAGCAGAAGGUACUAAUAAAAUCUGCAAAUUAUAAUAAAUGCUUCAUGUUUUACAUGAUAAAUCAUAAAAGUCAAGCUAUACCAGAGAGUAGAAAAAUUGAAUUAUACCUGGGCUUCGUGCUGGAACCUGAGCUGCUGGUAUAACUCUGGGAACCUCAGAUCAUAGCAAACUGAUAAACCCAGGCGUCCAACAGGACUGUCGACUGAAACUAUAUCCUUCCCUGGAUACAUAAUUAAUAUAGAUCAGUUAGUCCCAGAAACUUGUGUGAAAAAGCACUAAUUAGGAACUAGGGAGAUGAAAAUGCUCCUAGAAGCACGGGAAAAUUUUACGAAUGCAUUACACAUGGCUAAUUCUUAUUAGAAAACUCUAUGAAUCCAAAUAUUUGGAUCAAAGAAAAAUAAAGCAUUAGAAGGUCUUCAUCAAGAUAAUCCAGAAAGCAUGCCACAUUAGGCAUAUUGGCUGGCAGUGACUUGUUUUGCCAUAGAUUUGCAAGUAUGAGGUUACAGAAGCACAAACGUCAAAAGUGAACCAAUAAAAUGCUAUUUUAUAUCUGUCAGAAACAUUUGUAGAGUGAACCAAAUGCAGGUGCUGGCAGGUGAUAAGAUAUUUGUUCAUUCAACAUGCAAUUCAGACACACGGAUGAAGAGCUCACCAGGUUCUGUAAAGCUGCUUUCCUUGUAUACCCGUCCACCAGGAACAUCCACAUCAAACCUUAGUUUAGAAAGAAAACUUUUAUUUAGCUCCCAGAUGGAUAAAUUAAACCAUGAUAUGCACGAAUUAAUAUAAAAGAAAGAAUCGACAUAAAAACUUCGAGCAAGCAAUACUCACACACUCAUAUACACUAAAGAACUACAGUGAUAAGGGGAGAAGCAUCACAACAAAACCUAGAGUUAACCAUCUUACAAGUGUAUUUUACUAUAACUGCUUCUUAUACUCCCACAGUCAUCAAUGAUAACAUGCGUGUUGCGCAAGUGUUCGUCGUCAGAUCCUCUCUCUUGGAAUCCUCCAAGGGACAACCAAAUGCCGGACUCCCUGCAAUCCAAAAGACCAAUCCACUUACAAUUCAAUAACCAUAACCAUAAAGCAAUAAGAAAAUUCUAAUAUUGUGCCAAAAAAGAAUAUGAUGGUCAAUGUCUAUCACCUACAAAUAAAAUCACAAAGCAGGGAAAAUAAAGCAAAAUCAUAUAUUACCUGGCCAAUGAACAAUACUGUUGCAUAAUCGGUCCAUCCAAAGGCUCCGCAAUGUUAACGCUUUCCCCAUCCUUGUCCGCAAUGAAAGAAAAACUUUCCGGGAAACAAACCAAUUUUGCCCCUUCAGCCACUGCUUCCUUCACAUUACAACCCCACCCCCCAAAAAAAAAAAUUUAGCAGAGGAAUGCUAAGCAAAUCGGAACAAAAAUAAGUAUAAUAAUAAUAAAACUGUGUGCUAAUGAGAAAUCAAAAGCGAGUUUACUUUGACGAGGCGAGAGCAGGUUGCGAAAUUGGCAGCCAGGUCGUUGAUUGACGUCAUCUGAGCUGCAGCCACUCGGACCGAGUUGGAUGCCAUGGCUGGCUCGCUGGAAAUGGUGGCACGUGAUUGAACGGUCAGUGAGGUGAAGCGCGCGUGGCGUAUCGGACAGGGAAGAGUUCUGUUGCUGUUUAGCUUGACGAAAAAGCGGUAGUUGUGAAGACAAAAUGGCAUCGUUUGGUUAGAGAGAAAAAGAUCUUUCGGUGAUGUUAGCUGAGAAAACAGAAUUUGUUUUCUUUUUACAUUUUUGUCCUUGUUGUUUUGGUUUGUUUUCAUAACGGUUCUAUUUCUGAUCUUGGCCCCCGAGGAGAGGAGUCUUUGCAUUUGGCUAUAUUUAUUUGGGCCAUGCUGUAAUUUCCUUUUUAUUUCACACCUUUUGAUUUGAUAAAAAAAAAUAUCAUUUAAAAAAAAAGAAAAAAAAAACAUAUCACCCAUGGCCGAGACUACAAUAUUUAUGAGAAAAUACGUAAAAACUUCUUAGAACUGAACAUUUAUCUUACUAACUAAACUAAAUAUCAAGAUUUGAUUAUAUUGUAAAUGAGCAAUUCUCCUCUAAAUAUUAUAUUUUUAAAUGAAAAAAAUAUUUUUUAUUUAAAAAUAUUUUUGAAGUUUUAAUAUUAGCACUUCAAAAUUAUUGAAAUAUACUAAAAAUAUAUUUAUUUGAUAUUUUUUAUUUCAAAAAACAGCCAGACACAAGUGAAAUCGCUUGAGUAGCUUUCACUGUCAAAAUAAAUAAUUUUCAUUGUUUUACAAAUGUAUGAAAUGUUAUUUCUUGGCUUAUUAUAAGUACUCGUGACUUUCAACUUUUUUUUUAAAUCAAGUAUAUACAAGAACCGUCUUAUCAAUCCAUUUCAACAUGUUUUAAAACCAAUAAUAAUCAUUAUCAUCGAUUCAACUUUGAAAUAUAUUUUUUAAAAAAAUAAAAAUACAAAAAUAAAAAUAAAUACAAAAGAAAACCAACCUUAAUCAUUUUCUUUUUUAACUUUACUAUAAAAGGAGAGAAGAAGAUGAGCAAAAGUUGCCUGAAAUGAUGGUUAGUUGCAAGGUCAAAGUCAAAACCCUCCCACGAGGCAAGUAAAUUAGAGAAACAAAAACUGAAAAAAAAAAAAACUGAAAAUCGCAGCCUAAUAAGCCCAUCAAGAAAUCAGAGAAGAAGACCUUCUUAUCAUGGAUUUCCAUUAAAACCCAAGAUUUGCUGUAUAGAUAAUUACAGUCCUCUCUUUCCUUAACCAAUCAGAACUCCACAAUCUCUCUGUCUCUGUCUUUCUCUCUCUAGAUCUACUUUUAAUACAACCUUAUUUUUUGUUAGAACAUCUAAAAUCCCUUCCCUUGGAUUCUCUCAUCUAGUAAAUCCUUCAAAGUUUUGGCCUUUUAGCUUUUAUUUUAAGGCUUCUGCAUUGAAGGAUCAUAAAGUUUUGUUCUUUGCCCUUUGAAAUUGAUGACAAGGUAUGCUCAGGAACUUUUUUGAUUCUCAAAAAAGAAGAAGAAAAAAUUGCUUGCAAUUCCUUUAUCCAAUUUUACUACAAACCCAUGUCAAAUUUGAUUCCUUCAAGGGUAUUUGAUCUCGAGACAUAAUUUUUAAUUGCUUGGACAGUACCCAUUAUCUGUUUUUUUCUUUUUGUUUUAUGUUUCAGGGUGAUGGUGUCUGCAAUUUGAUUGACCAGAAUCCCUCAAGGCAACUACAUAUAGAUUCCCAAGGUGUGUUAAAGAAUUAUCGUCGGAUAGUUUAUAAUGUACGAUGAUUGUAAGUUUUGGGUCCUUUUCAUCGCAUGCCUCUUAAUCGUUAAAAUGUUCGAUUUGAUGGUGCUUGCAUUUGAUAAUUGUCUCAAAAUUGAAACUUCUCUCUCAAAUAUCGUGGCCAUGCCAUGAUGACAUAAUUUUGGUUUUGCAUGUCCUAAACUCCGCAUAAUGCAGUUUAUGGAUGUGCAAAUUCACUUGGUUUACUAGAUUGAUGGUGUGUUGAAAUUUGAAUUUUUGUUAAGCCCAUAUUGUGCAGUUUCUGGACCUGCACAGAAAUGAGUUUGUUGUAUCUUGAAUCUCUGAUGAGGUAAUGCUUCUUGCGUUUUGGUUCCUCCCUAAAUGUCAUGCUAUGUAGUUUAUGCACAAUUCAUCAUUUGUUGUAUUGUGAAAUACUUGUCAGAUCUAUGGCCCGUGGAUUUACAUACAAAAUCAUUAAUGCAAGUUUUUGGACAUACUCGUUGGUUUCAUAAUAUUGUACCCUCUGCAGAUUAAUGGUGUCUGCAUUCAAUGCGGGUUUGAUUUCUGAUACAUCUGUUGCGGGAUUAGAGAUUGUUGAGAAACAAGAUCCAAGAACAGUCUCUUAUAUACUUAUUGAUACUGAUUCAAGGAAUAGUUUGAUUUCUGGGUUAUUUGGGAGAGAAUAUGUGAGUGAUGGUUUCGACGUCAUUGAUGAGAAUUGUUUCACCCUGUUGGAAGCCUUCCGUCGAGGGUGAAAAUUCAAGUAAUGGUGGGGAUGCUGCUGGUAGAGCUGAGGGCUUGUUAUGGUACAAAGAUUCAGGUCACCAUGUUAAUGGGGAAUUUUCAAUGGCAGUAAUUCAAGCGAACAAUCUAUUGGAAGACUAUAGUCAACUUGAAUCGGGGCCAAUGAGCUCAGUUGACCCAAGUCCUCAAGGAACAUUUGUAGGAGUCUAUGAUGGCCAUGGAGGUCCAGAAGCUGCCCGGUUUGUAAAUGAACGCCUUUUCGAAAACAUCAAGAGUAAGUUUUUAUUACUCAUCUAUGAUGAACUUCAUUCUUAUUCAAAUGAUUGUAUCAUGUCAUUCAUGGAAUCCCAAUCUGGUCUGUUGAUUUUUCUAUGAUUGGUCCGUGAUUAUCAUUGGUGAAAUCUAGUUUUCCAUGUAUGGUAAUGAUUUGUUUUCCAUUCAUCUUGAUGUUUGGGCUAUUUGGAAGUUCAUGAGUUUGAUAGAUAAUUGCUCUUUGUGUUUCACCCCCUCAAGUACUAUACAUCCACCAUCAAGAUUCUUCUGGGGCCACAUUUUCUUGAAAAACCUGCUUUUGCAUGAUCAGGUUAAAACAAAUUAUCUAAGUGAUUUUUGGAUAUUUUAAAGAAUCUUUUUACUUGAAUUUCGAUCAGGGACAGAGAGAAUUUCAGAAUAUGUGGAUUGUGGAUUUUGGGGUAUUGUUCAAUUUCAGUGGAGAGUCUUGGGUGGUUGUGCAGAAGGUGGCAGACUAAUUGUCUCUGACUUGGUUUUGGGGUAUCUCUGUUGGUUCUGGGGGAGGAAAGAGUUUAGGACCCCAUGGUUUUGCAUCUUCCGUGCUGUUUUUUGUUGUACUUGGUCAGAGUGUUCAGAAAUUUAUACUCUCUGAAACAAUUGUUAUGGGACUGGAUAGUUUUUCUUUCUUCCCUGUGGUGUCGGGCUUCAGGUGCUUUUAGGGGUGUUUCCUAAUUGGAAAUCGAGUGGGAUUGGGCUGGUUUAUUAUGAUUGGUUUUCUUUUCUGAGUUUCCUUUCUUUGGAGGAUAGCUUAUUCUUCUUCAAGUUUUUCUAUUUGUUUGGUUGAUGUCUUAAUACAAUUUGCUUUUAUCCAAAAAAAUACUUUUCUGCCUAGUUUUACUUCCUGUUUAUAUAGCUAAUGCACAUGUUUACUGACUUGACAGCUAUUCAUGGUGCAGAAUUCACGUCAGAAAACAAUGGAAUGUCAGCAGAUGUUAUCAACAAAGCAUUUUUGGCAACAGAAGAGGAAUUUCUCUCUCUAGUGAAGAACCAGUGGCUACAUAAACCACAGAUUGCUUCUGUUGGUGCAUGUUGUUUGGUAGGUGUAGUAUGCAGUGGUGUUCUCUACAUUGCAAAUGCAGGAGAUUCCCGGGCAGUGUUGGGAAGAUUGGAAAGGGCCAUUAAGGAGAUCAAAGCAAUUCAGUUAUCAUAUGAACAUAAUGCAAGUAUAGAAUCUGUGAGAGAGGAGUUGCAUUCAUUGCACCCCGAUGAUCCACAUAUUGUUGUUCUAAAGAACAAGGUUUGGCGUGUGAAGGGUCUGAUUCAGGUGACCUUUUCUAUGUUCCACUAGGUUCCUGGAGUUUUCCUAUUAUUUCUAUGAUGAUAAAUGGUGGCAUUUUAUAUUCUUGAUUAUGAUACUACGAUCUAAUCUAUUGGCAAAUCUUUGUUUCUUCCACAGAUCUCAAGAUCUAUAGGUGAUGCCUAUUUGAAAAGGGCGGAGUAUAACAGAGAGCCUCUGUUAGCUAAAUUUAGAUUGCCUGAACCCUUCAAUAAACCGAUUCUUAAAGCUGAGCCAACAAUUUUAGUGCAGAAACUCUACCCUGAAGAUCAGUUUCUUAUCUUUGCAUCAGAUGGCCUGUGGGAGCACCUAAGCAAUCAGGAGGCAGUUGACUUUGUCCACAGCUGUCCACGUAAUGUAGGAUUGCUGUUUAUGAUUUCACCUUUAUUUUGCCUUCAUGUCACUUGCUGUGUUUAUGGCUGUCAGUAAUCAAGUUCAGGGAACGAUGACUUCUAGAACUUUCAGAAUCAUCAUUUCCUCUGCUUAUGAAGAGACCUCAACUUGUCCUUGUUUUUGCAGGGUGUUGCAAGGAAACUUCUCAAAGCUGCGCUUCGUGAAGCAGCGAAGAAAAGAGAAAUGAGGUAUUCAGACUUGAAAAAGAUUGAUCGUGGUGUCAGGAGACAUUUUCAUGACGAUAUCACAGUCAUAGUUUUGUUUCUUGAUUCGAAUCUUGUCAGUCGCAGCUCCUUCCGCGGGCCCCUAAUUUCCAUCAAGGGAGGUUAUGGUGUCUCUGGAAAUGGCAACACUUAGCUCGAGAAUUCUUGCACUCUAUCCCCAUUUCUUCGUUUGUAUUGAGAAACAAUUUUUUCUUUGAAGAGGAGAGAGCUUAAAGAAUCCCCCCCCCCCCCUGUUUUUUCAAUUGUAUAGCCACGCAUCUCAGAAACCUACUUUAAUUUGUUGAAAGACCUCCUUAGGUAAGUAUAGUUGAUGCCAUGACAGAGAGAUACCUCAGCAAAAGCCUUUGUCAGUAGCUGUCUGGUUGUUGGCAUAUGAUACUUGAUAAUCUAUAGUCUUCCUCAACUGCCUUGAGAACUAGAAAAAAUAACCCCGUUUAGAGUGAAAUUCACAAUAUUGUUCAGUUUUAGUUCACAGAGUUUUCGUUUUUUGUGUGAAUCUGGGUCUGCCAUCUGGCCUUUUUCAAGCCUACCGUGUAUUUUCUCCUUCAGCUUUCCUCGACUAGCACUACAAUCGGAAAUUAUUGCGUGUCGUCUGAUUGUGCUUCUCUUUUUUUAACCGUGGGAAUCCUGGGGCUAGCUUUCACAUCCCGGAGACUAAUGUAUGAAUUUUCUUAAUCAACUUUAUCACAAUCUACUUUUGCAUUCUGCCGAAAUGAUAUGAUAAAGUGGGGAGUAAAUCCACUUGCUUGUCACAAUCUCCUUUUGCAUUCGAACCUCAAAUUAUAACGUCAAAUCAAUUUUUUUAACUAGCAUAAAGAAAUAUUCAGUUAUUAUUAAGAUUAAUUCAGUGUUAUUUAAAUUAACUUAGUUAUGUCAAAAAAAUAACUUCAUGAUUGUUAUUAAAAAAAUUUCAAGCAAAUAAUUUUUUAAAUAUUAAAAAAAAAUAUAUUGAAUUAAUCCAAAUCAAAUGUUAACCUGUUAAAUCCGUAUCUUAUAUCUUGUAUCGUGAAAUUAUAAAAUUCAAUUUUCAAUUAACCCAAUGUUAAAGGAUAAAAUUUAUAAAAAUAAUUAAAAAAUAUCAAAAAACAAACAACUCAAGUCAAUACACCAAACCUGCAACCUGACUUAUAUGAUUGAGACAACUCUGUAGAAAAAACUAAAAUAAAUUACAAAACUUAAUUUUUAAUUAAUUCAAUAUUAAAAAAUAAAAAUCAAUUAAAAAAAAUCACCUCAGGCUUGUACAUGAUUUUAUAACCAUGGGAUACCACCUUCUAAAAUGAAAAGCAUGGCUGUGCUGCUUGUAUCUUGAUACAGAAUUGUGCCACCCAUAUCAAUAAUGGUCCUAGCCCAUGGUUAUAAAGCAUAGUGAUCUGAGGUAGACCGGAAAGGAGGACAAGAUCUCCCCUGUAUGAGGUCCUCCUAGUACAGGAACCGCAUGGGUAAAUUCGGUGGCAACAAGAAAAUUUACUUGUAGGUUUGUUCAUGUUUUUGCAGUGUCUUGAUGUAUCUAUAUCUCGAUUGAUACUAGCUUCCACUAAAAAUAUUAUAUUUUACCGUUGAUUAAAUAAAAAUAUAUAUCUGUAGACUGUAACUCAGUUUAGGAUUCUCCGAAGCAAGCUUCCUUCCGUGUGUUUUAAAUGCAAGAACCUAACUACCUUUCAAAAAACCAACCGAUCGACGAACAAUGGCGCAUUACUGCCUAUGAACUAUUUCAGUAGUUCAUCACCGCUGACAUCCUCAAAACAUCCUUCUCUUCGUUUAACUUUCGAUCUGACCUCCAAGAAAACAGCAAGAUUCCUAAACGCUAAUGCCAUAAAACUAAGCAAAAACAGAACCAGUUCCAUAUCUGCAACAAGGGCAUGCCACUUGUCCUUACAUGUGCAUGCUUGCAUUAAUUAGAUUGGUGGUUAGUGUUUCUGUUUGGCUGCUUUCUUGCUGAGAGAAGGAAAGAUAAAUAAUUUUUCCAUUUGGCAAUCAAAUAGGGCAGAGUGUUUUUCCAUUCUUUUUGCGGAUUUUAAGGGUUUUUUUCCUUCUCAAAAUUCUGUACAGAGGUGCGAAAGAAGUUCUUUCACCAGCUCUUACUUCUAAUCCAGACCCACCACCAGUUUUUUAUGGAAUAACAAGGUAUGUUCUCGUUUACUUCACUUGCUUACAAAUUUACAAUAAAUUGCUGAAUUUUUUUAUCCUUUGUCAAUGCAUUUUCUUCCUAUAAAGGUAAAAAUUAACAAGCAAUUCAUCUUUACCAUGGUGUGUUGCAUUUUCUAUGUUUUAGUUGUGCAUAUAGUACGUGUGUCCUUGUGCACCGCGUGCUUGGAUUGCCCGGAAUUGCUAGGUUAUUUCGACAAGAUAGGCCUGCCUGGUGCAAGGAGAAAGAGUAUCCUACUAUCAAGGUAGAGCUGGGUGAUAAUCCCAAUUAUUGGUGUUGUCUUCUUUCCUGGGUUGUUUAUGCAAGAUCGUUAUGCAGGUGCCUUCACUGGAACAUAAUAAUGAAGUGAAAGGAGUGUCUCUUGAUUUGAUUAAAUGUAUCGACAGUCACUUUGAUGGUCUAUCAUUUUUUCCUCAUGUAAGAUUCAGAGCACUCUCUAUAUCUCGUGUUUGAUCCCUUCAUUGAAAUAUAUAAUUGUUGUUCAGACUGUGAACCACAGGAUCCUGCAAAGAAAGAAUUUGCAGAGGAGUUGUUUUCCUGCUCUGGUUCAUUCAGCAAAUCCAUAAAUUCCACAUUCAAAGGUGAAGCAGAUGAAGCUGGUGAGUGUAAUGCUUGCUGCCUUUGAUGUUCCUUUGUCUGCUACAAACACGAAUAAAGUGUGUGAAUUGCCCCAGGUGCUGCAUUUGAUUUUAUUGAAAUGGCCCUUUUUCCUUGGCCAGUUCAGUCUCGUAAGAAAAAAGUCUUGCGUGUCCUGUGACAGUUAUACCUGCUAUCUGCUACAAGCUAACUCGAGUUUUUUUCCCAUCAAGUGUAGUAUAAUAAUGCUUUAUCUUUCGGUGAAAGUUCAUACUCGAAUCUAUUUUAUUUUUGUAUACAGCUGAAAUCUGAAUAAUGCUCUGAUAUGUACAGGUGGAUACAGCUUAUGCUCCAUUUAUUGAAAGAUUUCAGCCAAACUUGUUGGAAUUUAAGAAGUACGCCGUCACUGCUGGAGGCCUAAACUGGCUACUUGGAUUGAGGUAAGCCUAAUCUGUCUUCUAUUCUAUUAGCUGAUGUCAUCUUGUCAAGGUCUACUCUGCUGUGGUACAUAUCAUAGUGACAUCUAAGUGAUUACUACAUGGAGUAGACAGUUCUGUCGAGUCAUAAUUUUCUUAUACAAAUAGAAGUACUUGUCCUGUUUCGAAAGACCAAAAUUACCUCAUGGUUCAACAAUUGAAACAUUGUGAAAACACAAGUUGCUUAUACACUGACUUGUCCCUUAUAACAGCAUCAAAAUUAUUCCUGUGUAGGAGAUGAACAAAAUCUAGGCUUACAACCAAGCCAGGCGCAAUCCAAAGCAGCGCGUGGAAACCUACAAGAAACGCUUUACGGUAUGGCCACUAGAUUUUGACCAGAAGUUGGUUUCCUGAAAUGUUAAAGAUUGUAAGAAAUGAUAAAAAGAGUAUCGGAUCCCCUCUCUUACCAUGUUUCUUGUGCAAGCUCAUCUUUGAAACCUUGGCAUUCCAUCUCUAUCAUAGAAUAUAAAAAAUUAAGUGCAGAUUUCCCAGUAGUAGCUCCAGUAUUUCUUUCAUGACAAAUCAUGCAGCGGAUGGAAUAUCAUCUGAGAAGACUGGGACUAGUGUUUCUAUAUUUUUGUUUUGAAGUAUGCAAAAUCUGGAACCCUUGUGAUCAUCAGUGUUUUCUGAUGUUGACAAGCACCCUUCUCUCCUUUUCUUUUAUUUUCUUUUUGAUGGAUUAUAAGCACCUACCCUUUUUUUUUUUUAUCAUAGUGGUUCGCUAUUAUAAGACGGAAAUAUUGAUCAUAAGCAUCUAUGAAUACAUACGUUUCCGGAGCCUGUGGCUUGUGUUCCUAAAGGCAUUUAAGAAAAAUGGUAGCUAAUAACCCCUACUCUAACAAUGUUUCUUGUGCAGGUUAUAUUUCAAUGAACCCCCACUACAAUACCCAGGGAUGCUUCUCGUUUAUAUAUCCAUGUCGUGGUAAUGUGUUCAGCGUAAUCAGCAUGAGCAUUCUCUAACUGAGAUCACAAACAUACCGCGGCAGGAAAAAAUACACCAUGGUUUCUGCUUGUUUUUUCAGCAAGCAAAGGCAGCCUAAAACAACCCAAAUAUUGCUGAGUGCUAGCUACAGUAUCAGCCUCGUCAACAUGUGGCACCGCAGAUGCUAGAGUAGAAGAUCUGAAGGAGGUUCUUAUCGUUUACAAAGCAACAUAUUGCAAUGUCAUGUAAAAGCCUCCACAUGCAUCAGGUUCGAGUACGGCUGUCAAUGUUAUCACUUCCGAACUUGCAACACGAAGAUUGAUUCUCGGUGUAAUGGUAACUCUCUUGAUUUGGUGAUCCUGUCUUGGUUCUACAUCACAAGGGUAAAUCAUCGUCUAAUGACUUCCAUAGAGAUUAGAAAACAACUUGAGAUCAGUCAUCACUGUGACUCAAUUCUGGCACUAUGCUGAAAUGCCACAGGCCAUAAGAAUGAUGUGAUCAUAACAUUGCAUCUCACUGGAGUAUUAUCCGCAAGAGCAUCUCAGAUAAAAGUAACAAACUUGACAAAAACAUCGGAAAAUUAUUUAAGUUCUUAAUUCUCUGUAAUUCUUGUUUCUUGUUUACAUUGGAAUGGACGAUAUUUUUUCUUCAGCUCCAUCGCGAAUAAAUUACAAUGUGAUACUACCAGCAUCCACUCAUGGCAUCAAUGAUCCAGGAGGCAUCAGAUCAACACUAUCAAUGGCUCUGAUCAGGCUUUUUCUGUUUCAACUUUCAACAUCUACCUCCUCACAAUUCUUCGGUAUAACAAACUAACAUGAAGCCUUUGAGAUUUUAAAAACACUAGAAAACGCCCUAAAAGAACAGGGAGUCUGCCUCCACACCAGAUGCAAACUUAAUAUGAGGAACUUCCCAAGAAAAAAGAAACAUCUUCCCCCCUAAUCGCCACCUACUUGAGGAACUCAAUCAGUGAUUAAGCAUUAAAACGGGAUAUGUAUAAAGUGUCUGUGUCAUCCACAUGCAUCCUCGGGAGCAUGCAUAAGCAACGCAGAGCAUGGCUGCUAUACUACUUCAGCAAUACUUUCCAUAUCUUACUCACAUAUACAGCUAAAGACCAUAUAGAAAGACCUGCUGAGAUAUAAAGCAAAAUGACACCAGAAGGUACUAAAAUCCCUGGUCCUUCAAGACUGCACGAGAAAGAAAAAGACAAGGAAACAAAGAAAUUGUAAGAUACAGGGAAUGACAAAAAAAAUUCUGAGACACUAAUCUCCAAGUUGACCAUAUAGCAGCAAGAACAAUGUGAAAGAAAAAUAGGUGGGACCUGCUGUCUCGAGCAGCCAAAAGGAUAGUUAGUGAAAUCAUCUGGGUAGCAGUUUUCCACUUCCCUAAGUUAUUUACAGCAACAGCCUGAGACAGGAAUCGUUCUUGGUAUAUAAAUCACAGUUAAUAGUAAAGCAUUUGUUCUUAGCAGCUAAAUUUUUUUGACAAGUUUGAAAAGAAAUGAGGUGGUUGAGGAGCUUGUACAAUAACAGACAAACCUCUAAAAGUUUGCUAUUCCGUGAAGCAGCCCAUUCUCUAACUGCAGACAUGGUUAUCUACAAACAAAAGGCAACUCAAUUGGUCAGAUCAAAUCAUACAUGACCCCGUAACAUCACACAAGAAUGUAUGUUUACCUGAAGGAAGAAAAAAGAAAAUGAAAAAGAAAAAUAAAAAUUGGAUAAAAUAGCUUGUGACAUAGGCACUUGGGAAACUAAGGCAUGCUAUUGGCAUGUGGGAGUGGAGGGGGUUAGGAAACAUAACAAAAUAAAGUAAAUUACAAAAUCAAUGAUUCAUCGAUGCAAUUGUCUAUGGUUGAAGAUGAUUGACAUUAUUCACAAUCACAAUAAAAACAGACUACCAUUGAGUUCCUCACAAACCCCAAUCCAAAGGGACUUACAACACACCCCAAAGAACAUACGAAAAUGAAUCAUUAAACUCCAAUGAGCAAAUGCCACACAAAAAAUGAUCUUAUUGUUGGUUAUGGAGAUGAAAGAAUUACAGGUGAAAGGCAAUAAGAAUAUAUGCAUUACCUCCCGGCCAAUAAUUGAAGUUGCGGGUACAGUGAACAGCCAAGGUACUUCUCCUGACAAUGCAACUUCCAAAGGUCUAGAACAUAAUAAGAUCAAGGCGGCAGCAACCAUAAGCUGCGUUUAAUACAGAAGAAUCAAAUAAGAAAACUCAAAUAAUUCUCACGAGUUACAUGAACCACGCAUAGUAAUCCCACUAGGCUUGAAAAUACACAAUACCUUAUCAGCUACCGGAUCCAAAAAAGCACCAAAAGCUGUGCCUAACUUCAUCUGAAACACAACGAAGCGUUUAGCUUUAACCAAUUACAUAAUAAUAUCAAAAUAAAAUUUACUCUCUCUUUCUAAUCAAACAAAAGACUACACCUUUCGUGCAAGGUACCCGUCAAGCCAAUCAGUGAUUGCUGCAACAAUAAAAAUACUUGUUGUAGCAGUUCUUCCCCACCAACUAUCCGCAUAAAAUGCUACGGCACAAAAAUUACAGCGUCAGACCCCUCUAAUUGAAGUACCAUUUAAAAAUUAUUUCUGGAAGUAAAAAAUAUUCAAAGGGAAUUUAGAACUGAAAGCAAAAUUCAACAUAAAUUCAAAAAUCAUGCGCGUUUUAUCCACCAAAAAAAUAAACUAAUUUCAUGCCUCCAAUAAAUUGCAAAAAAAAAAUCAAAAAGAUAUUUCCAUUAUAAAAUCUACUACUCAAACUGUCAUUAAAUUCAAUUAAAUUAAUACACAUUUCUAAUUUUUUACAACAAAAAUCGCCAAAUUGCCAUAAAAAAUUCAAAUACGUUAACCAAUAUAAACAAAAUCACAAGACCUAAAGUAAUAAUAAACACAAGUAAGCAUUGCGGGAAAAAAACAAAACGGUGCGUACUAGCAACAAGUAGCGGCACAGCAGCGACGCGACCGAGGGUUAAAACGGUAGGCAAAGUUAGAAAUUUAGAAUGUUGCUGUUGUUGAUUGUGAAUCUGCAUAGACGGUGAUGUUGACAGCGGUUGAUCUUGGCUGUCAUGGUUAUACCAACCUACAUCGUCGAUUUUAUUCUCGGAUCCCAUUUCGGACAUGAAACCCGACCCGGGAGAAGAAGCUAAAGGCGGCGAAUCGGGUCUGGAGAAGCGAGUGGAGGAACUAGAGUUGCGAGAGGGCAAUGAAAGGCAUCCACGAAACGUAAAUCCUAGAGAGUUUUUAUUACUUCUAUUAUUAUUACUAGUGGUGUUAUAAUGGUAAUAACAGGGGGUACUUUUAUUAUUAUUCUUAUUUGAAGGGAGGUGUGCGCAGGGUGUUAACGUGCGCCAACUUUUAUUGCUAUUUAUGGGUAGAGAGAGAGAGUAAGGAGUGAGAAAUGUGGUGAGGUUGGUGGCGGAGGUGAUGGUUAUUGUGUGGGCUAUUUUUUUUGUGGUGAAGGAGUGAAACUGCCGUGCCUAGUUUACGGGUUGGCAUGGUGGUGGUGGAGAUGGUGGUGAUGAAUUGGGAAGGGAUUUGAAUUCUUUUAUUUUUGAGCUGGGAUUUUAAUUUGAGGGGGUGGAUUUUGGGUUUUCAGUUCGGAAGUUGGCUUCGUCUCGGUCCUGAUUCGGUGGGUGGAUUCUAGUAUUUCAUCGGCUUUUUUUAAUGCCGUUUAGCUUUUAAUUUUUAUUUUUUCUAGUCCAUGUAUUGUACAGCGUAUGUCUGUUUAGUCCCUGUACUCUGACUGCAUCAGUCAGGUCCCGAAAUUAGGCACCUUGAUGUGUCGUUUAAGUCAUGGCACCUGAGAGGAAAGCACUUGAUAACUUCACUCGUAUCGUAAUAAUAACAAAAAUAUCUGUUUCGUGUAUUUAUUAGAGGACAAUUUUGUCCCAUUCGAUUGAGUUCUAUUUCCUACGAUUGUAUCUGUUCGCCGGGUAUAUAUUAGAAGAUUCUUUAGAUAUUAGGUUUCACUUGGUAACAUAUCAAUGAAAUGAUAGCAUUUCUAUCUGCAUCAAUGACUUGUUUGGUAUGCAAUUGCAAGAAUGAAAAGGAAAGCUACAAGUGACAGUAACACGCUAAAUUAUUUAUCAAAUAAUUAUUUUAAUCUAAAAAAAGUUAUUAGAUAAAAUAUCAAUAUAUAAUUUAUAUUAUUUUUCAACACGGCUUCUCAAAUAAAAAUCUAACUUACAUGGACUCACACUAUUUUAUACUUAAUUUUUAUUAAAUAAAACGAGAACGAUGAAAUUCAAACUCGUGACCCAACAAGGUUUUAAUACCUUGUAAAAUAAAUAUCUCAACCUAAAAAUUUAGGUUAUUAGAUAAGAUUUUAAUAUAUAAUUUAUAUUAUUCUGUAAUAUUAUUUGAUUCUUGUAGCAAAAAAAUAAAUAAAGUUGCAAUCUUUUUGUAUUAUUCUAUUGCUAAUGUUCAUAAAUAUCGUAAAUACACUAGAUAUUUAAUUAAUGAAAUUUUAUAUUAUUUUUCAACACGGCUUCUCAAAUAAAAACCCGACUUACAUGGACUCACAUUAUUGUAUACUUAAUUUUUAUCAAAUAAAACGAGGAUAAUGAGAUUUAAACCUGUGACCACUUCGUCAAUAAGGUUUUAAUAUCUUGUUAAUAAAUAUCUCAACCUAAAAAUUUAGGCUAUUAGAUAAAAUUUUAAUUUAGUAUUGUUUGAUUCUUGUAGCAAAAAAAAAAAAAAAAAGUUGUAAUCUUUUUGUAUUAUCCUAUCGCUGGUAUCCUUAAAGAUAGUAAAUAUGCUAGAUAUUUCAUGAAUAGAAUUUUAUGCGUUUGAUAUUAUACUUUUCAUAUGUUUUUCCAUUGAAUAUACAUUGAAAUGAAUUUUAAAAAAAAAUUAUUUAUUUUUUAUAUUAAUAUAUUAAAAUUAAUAAAAUUAUACUGAAAAAUAUUAAUUUAAUAUAACUUUUCUCGUACUAGCUGGUACCAGUGAAAGGCGUUUUGGGCUACUUGUUUGAAGAAAACACACUGAUCCAUGUCUGCUCAUCUGCUGAUUGCUAUAAUCGGUAUAGAUAUUUAGGUAUUGUUUAGUAACGUGGCAGGCUUAAAUGCUGUUGGGUAAAAAUUUGAUUUAAAAAAAAAAUAUGAUUUUAAUUUGCUAAAUAAAAAAAAACUACUAUCAUGCUAUAAAAAAAAAAACUCUUUAGAAUUUCCAAAUAAUAUCUUAUGAUUCGUAAACUGGACAAGACAUGAACACUAUGCAUCAUGCUUAGUUUAUCUCGAAAUGGGAAAAGGCUUGGUUGCCGACACAGUCGUUACCAUGUGAAGAGAUUAUCUACUAGACGGUCCACACCUCUCGAUCAAAGUAAGAGAUAUUUAGAAAUAUAAUAAUAGUUAUAUUUAAAAAUAUUUUUUAUUUAAAAAAAUAUUAAAAUAUUGCUUUUUUAUUUUUAAAAAUUUAUUUAUAACACCAUCACAUCAAAAUGAUUUAGCAACAUUAAACAAAAUAAUUUUUAAAAAAAUCAAUUAUCUAAAAAUUAAAUUAAAUCUCAAUCCCAAACACUUAUAAACGAGCUAGUGUAUUAUUUUUUUUAAGCUGUCGAAAAACUUUUUCAUUCAGGAAAAUAAAACUUUUUAAGAAAAAAACAUUUUUUCUCUCGAAAAUAUGUUACAGUAUCUAUUAAAAACAACAUUUUCAUGUUGUUUUAAAAAGGGUAAAAUAUUUUUAAACAAACCUUUUCAUGUAUUAAUAUUAAUUAUUUUCUUACAGUUUUCUCACAUUUCUUGAAAAAUAAUACUGUAAAGGAAUUUAAGCAUAAUAUUUUCACCGAAUAAGACUAUCAUUACCUCAACUGACUUACAAUGAAAAAAAAAAAUUUCUAAGGAAAUUAUUGUGUUUCUAUUUGCAUUGUAAUAGUAUAAUUAUAGAUUUCCAUUUUAAUUAUAAAACCUUUGAAAUAUGAAUGGGGCAAUAUUAUAUUUUCAUCGUGAUAGACAUAUUAGUCUUCUUACUUUUUUAACAGUGAAUCAUUUUAUUACCCUUAAUAUAAAUAAAAAAUAAACUUAUAUUCGGUGCUUUAAAGUAUUUUUAUUUUAUUUUUUAACAUGGUAAAAAUACUUAAUUACAUUUAAAGAAAAAAUACACAAACUAUCUUCUCGGGUUUUUUUCAUCAUGUUUUUUUUUUGUUAAUAUCAAUUUGACCCGGAAAUAUUUUUGUAUUUAAAUAAUUAUUGAAUAUUGUUGAAAAAAACUUGCAUGCACCAGCAAAUAGGUGGCCCGUGCAAGUUUGUUCACUGAUAAAAAAAUUACCUUUCAAGGUAGUGUUUGGAUCCUUUUAGCAUCCUCUACAUGGUGCGGUGACACGUGUUGCCAACAAAUCUCCAAUGAUGCCAACAAACUUUUCUUUUUUCUUUUUCAUUCCUUUCUCUUUGUUCCUCAAUUUCAACACUUACCGUUUCAAAAUCUCAACCUCGUCUUUCAACUUAUCAUUUAUUCGUAUAUGAUUCAUGGUCUUUCAAAUAUUAUUUGUUUUAUUUUAUAUAAUUUAUCAAGGUUGGAAUUUCUUUUCAAUUUUAUCCCCUUUAUUUUUUUACUCUCACAGGCAUGGUCUCCAGUUUUUUAUUGAUAUUGUUCUAUUUUUUAUAAAUUUUUAAAUUGAUUUUUUUUUAACAAUUUUACUCCUUAAGUUUUUUUUCCUUAGCAAGUUUGAUAUUUAUUAUCUUGAUUGGUAUUAUUUAAAAACCUUGACAAAUUUUUAAAAUUGAUAUUUUUUUAUUUUAUCUCUUAACAUUAAAUUUAUUGGAAGUUGAACCUCUUAAUUAAGUUCGGGCCUGUAAUUUCACGAGUUGCGAGCUUUAAAGAUUAACAAGGAUUUAGGAAGUUCGUCUAGUUUUUUUUUUGUUUUUUAAAACUCAUGGUUUUUUAGUUUUAUCAUUAUAUAUUUGUUUAAUUAGAUAUCGGGCUCUAUUAUGUUUAUUUAUUUGCUUUCAAUGUAUUUUUAUAUUAAUUUUAAAAAAGACCUAAGUUAUCCUGAUUCUUUUUACUUGUCAUUCCUUGUUGAAAUUACUUUGAUAAUUUUUUUUAUUUUUUUUAUUUUAUCAUUUUAUAUUAGAUUAGUUAUGAAUUAAUAUUAUUUUCAACAUCAUCCAUCGAGGUUGGAGUUUUUGAUGCCGGGUUUCGUGAUUUUCUUUAAUUUAUUUUUUAUUCAUUUAUCAUGGUCCCAUCGCUGAGACUACAAGUUUGAUGGGUUAACAUGGUUUAACUAGAUAUAUAUGUGGAUAAUUUUUUUAAAAAAAUUUAAUAUCUGCUACAUUUUGCCCUUCAGCAUUGAGCUGUUUCGUAAGUGAGCCUCGUAAUCUUUGAUGGUUUGGGUUUUAUUGGGUUAUCUCAUUUAUAUAACCCGGGUCACGUGGUUUUGUUGAUUUGCCUAGUUUGUUGGUUGUUCUUAUUUUUAUUUUUUUUAAUUGAUUUAUUUUUUAUUUUCAUCCCUCGACGUUAAAUUUAUUUGGAACUAUAUUUUUCUUCAUUUGUUUUUCAUUGACUUGUCUCGAUCUCAUGCCUGCAUAUUUAGCGUGUUUACAUGAGUUUUUUUAUUUUUUUUAUUUGUCUAGCUUAAAUCAUAGAUUCAUUGCUUUUUUGUUUUGUUUUAAUAGUUGUUUUUUUACAAGUUCCCAUUUAUUAUUUUUUGUUUAAUUAUCAAUUCUUUUACUACUUGAUUAAAAUAUAUUUGAGUUGUGUUUUUUUAAAGAAAUAUAUUUGUGUGGCUUUUUAAAAUUGAUUUUUUUUAUUUCAUCUAUCGACAUUAAAUUUAUUAGGAAUUGAACCUCUUAAUUUGGUUAGGGUUUGAGAUUUCACGGGUUGCGAGUUUUAUAGAUUAACAAGAGUUUAUGAGGUUUGCCUAGUUUUUUUGUAAAAAAAACUCAUGUUUUUUCCUUUUUUACCACCAUGUAUUUGUUUAAUUAGAUAUCGGGAUCUAUUAUUUUUAUUUAUUUGAUUUCUAUAUAUUUUUAUACUAAUUUAAAAAAAGACCUAAAUCAUCUCAAUUAUCAUUUGUCGUUGUUUGUUGAAUUUACUUUGACAAUUUUUUUUAAUUUAUAUAUUUUUUUAAUUUUAUCAUUCAAUAUUAGAUUGAUCAUUAAUUAAUAUUAUUUUUCAGUCUCAUACAUCGAGGUUGGAGUUUUUGAUACCGGGCUUCGUGAUUUUCUUUAAUUUAUUUUUUAUUCACGUAUCAUGAUUCCAUCAUUUAAACUAUGAGUUUGAUGGGUCAACCUAACUUGACCUAGUAUCUAUUUGGAUAUUUUUUUAAAAAAAAUUAAUAUCUAUUACAUUUUGUCUUUCAACAUAUAGUUAUCUCGUGAGUGAGCUUCAUAAUCUUUGAUGGUUUGCGUUUUAUCUGGUUAUCUCAUUCACAUAACUCGGGUCAUAUAAUCUUGCUGGCUUGCCUAAUUUGCUAGUUGUUUCUAUUUUUAUUUUUUAUUUUUUUUUCAAUUUCAUCUCUACAUGUUGAAUUUACUUGAAACUAGACUUUUCUUUAUUUGUUUUUCAUUAACUUGUCCCCGUCUCUUUCUUGCAUAUUUAGCAUGCUUACAUUGGUUGUUUUUUUUUCAUUUGACUGGCUUAAAUCAUAGCUUCAUUGUAUUUUUUUUGGUUUUAAUAAUUGUUUUUUUAUAAAUUCCCAUUUAUUCUUUUUUGUUUAAUUAUAAACUCUUUUACUACUAGAUUAAAAUAUUUCCGAGUCAUGUUGCGUAGCUUAAAUUUUUUUUUUAAUCAAUAAAAAAUUUAUUCCAGCCCUGCAAUUUGGCACUGAUGGAAAACAUUAGCAUCAACAGGAAAAAUAUUUAUUAUUUCCCAAAAUUAGAUUCAUAAUCAACACAACCAACACAACACCACUCAAAACAAAACCUCAGUUAGCAGUACCGGCUCACGGUACAUACCAGCACCCAUCUGGCAUAUCGUCGUCAUCAUCCACACCAAAACCACCCGCCCCUGACUGAUCGACCAGCUCCACAUCGUGGGUCCCUUAUAUUUAGCAAAGUACAGACAUCAAAUUACCCCUCUCUCCCCCUCCGUUAAACGCCUCUUUCAACUCCGUGCUUAAAGAAAGGGAAAAUGAAAAAACGGCAACCCACACCAUACAGAUCUCACAGUAAUAAUGUAAACGCCAAUCUCGAUAUACACCACAUCACUCUACUCUCCCCCUUCUCUUAAACUCUCACAAAGCCCACGCUACUCAGCACAAACGCGCAUACACACAAACACGCACUCUCUCUCUCUCUCUCCCCCCCUGAAAAUCAGUUGCGGAGUGAGAUCUCUCUGCCAGCAUCAAUCUCUCAACAGAUAAUCUUAAAAAACGGACCAAUCAAAUUCAUCCAGCAAAUGAAGGCCCAAACUAAAUCUAUUAACCCACUCCCCGGCUUUGAACACAAGAGGUACAUCUUAAAUCCUCUCCUAUCUCCUCUCACCACGCGUCACUUUCUUUCGUUUUCUUGCGAUGAUCUAUCAAAUCCCGGUCCCUCUGCUGCCGUGAUUGAAUUGAACUCCACCAGUAGACACAUUUCCCUGAUCGAUCGCGUUAAUAAUUACUAUUUCAUGACUGCUCUUUGACUUUGAUUAGCUUGAUUUAUUACCGAGUUGAUUUAUGAUCGAGUUUGAUUUGUUUGAAUUUUGAUUACUGUCACAGUGUAAUGCGUGAUGUUUGGCUUAAUUUAGGAAUCAAGUGUGAAAUGCGGUGUAUUUUUUCAGUAAACUCGAGUGUGAAUUGAGGUAAUUUUGAGAGAUAUGGAGAGUAGAUUUGGAGUUUUGAUUGGAAUUUGUUAUUGUUUAGUUUGAGUCAGCUAGAUUUCGAGGUUUAUUGCAGGUAAAUUCUACUUUUUUUUUUUUUAAAAAAAUAAAUUUGGCUUGAUUGAGUUUUUCGAUUUGUUAUUUUAGAGUUAUAAUAAUUAUUUUUUGUAUCUGAUUGACGGAAGUGUUUGUACGUAUUUUUGUGAUUUGUUCGUCAUUGUGAAUUUGCUUGAAUUUUUAUUGUGGAGGUGUUAUGUUGUUAAUAGAUAUCAAUGUGGACAGGGAUGCGUAUGGAUUUGCGGUGAGACCGCAGCAUGUACAAAGAUACAGAGAAUAUGCUAAUAUCUACAAGGUUUGUUUGCUUCUGUUAUACUUUCUUUCUAAUUUUGAACAUUCCUAUCCAUGCCAUUUAUAAGAUUAGUGAAAAUAUUGAUAAUUAAGAGCAGCGAAUUUCCGAACCUUACUAGGACUGAAAAAUGAGGCUCGUCGUGUUCUAUUCCUUAUUGAUCUGGAUUUUUUUAUCCAAAAUUUAAUUUAUCUGCGUUUCCUAAUAUUUUUUAAGCAACCAAAUGGAGCUUGAGAGAAAGCAGUCUCUUACCAAGGACAAUAGCUUUUUUUUAUGGGCUUUUCUGAUGCACUUGUGAUUUUAGGAGGAAGAGGAGGAAAGAUCGGAUAGAUGGCAAACCUUCCUGGAACAGCAGGCAGAUUCAGCUCGAUUGCCAAUGAAUGGGAUAUCUUCUGAGAAAGAUAGCAAGGAAUUGCAUGCAGAAGCAAAAGAACAAGAGACCAGAAAUGGCUCGCAGAAGAACAUUGAAGGAGUUGAUAUACGUGGUGAGAAACCUAGUUCUGAUGUUUUACUGGAAAAUGUUACAGAAAAGGAGGAGAAACAGCCAGCAACCAGUAAAAAAACUCAUAGGAUCCAAAUUUGGACCGAGAUCAGACCAUCCCUUCAUGCCAUCGAGGAUAUGAUGAGUCUUCGCAUCAAGAAGAAAGGCAAUCAAUCAAAAGACCAGCAAGAGACUAAAAGAGAAAGGAUGGUACCUCCUUUUGAAGAUGCUAAAUCACCAAAAGGAGCACCUGAAGAGGAUUCUGAAGAUGAGUUUUAUGAUGUGGAAAGAUCAGAUCUAAUUCAAGAUGCCCCUGCCAGUGACGGUGCCCCUCCCACAGGUACUGCUCCUGAUGCGCUGCCUCUAGAAUCUUCAUUUCCUUGGAAAGAAGAGCUGGAGGUCCUUGUACGCGGAGGAGUCCCAAUGGCACUCAGGGGAGAGGUAUAUUCUGACUCUUCCCCCCCCUCAAAUUAAGUUCACUUCAUGGUGCAUAAGCUUCAAAAUUGAUUUAUGCUCACAAUUGUAGCUCUGGCAAGCAUUCGUGGGUGCAAGGGCACGCCGAGUGGAGAAGUAUUACCAUGAUCUGCUUGCUUCAGAAACUAAAUCCGGAAAUCAUGCAGACCAACUGUCAGACAGUAAUACUAAAGGUUCAACUACUGACACUGUUUGUGUACAAGAGAAAUGGAAAGGUCAGAUCGAGAAGGUAAUGACAUGCAGAGUCUUUCAAUUUAGAGUGGGACCUACUUUCGUCUCUUUGGUAUUCUCAAUCGAAGUCACCAACCUAUUAGUGGUUUCAUAUGCAGGAUUUGCCUAGAACUUUCCCAGGUCAUCCUGCAUUGGACAAUGAUGGUAGAAAUGCUCUGAGGCGAUUACUGACAGCAUAUGCUCGACAUAACCCCUCCGUUGGGUACUGUCAGGUAAUUGAAAACUUAUGGUACUCAAUGAAAUCAACUAUUGUCAUUCAAGGCUUGGCCUGCCAGUUCACUGAAAAAAGAGAGAAAGGAAAUUACAUCUGGAGGUGUGUGAUGAAUUAUGUGACGCUCCUGAAGAAGAUGAAAAAUCUACAACAAAGCUGUGAAUAAGAACAAUUUGCGUUCUAACAAAUUUUUGGCCAACGUCUUAAAAUUUCUCAUUAUAAAUUCAGCAGACGCAAAUGAGAUGAUUGGCCAAAAUCAAGCAAUUCCUGAAUGCUCUAGAUGAAUUUUUUAUUAUAAUUGUCAGCAUGAAAUCACUUUGAAUAAUAAUGCCAUCAUUAACCGGAGAUAUGAUACAUGUAGUGAAAAUUAUCAUCAAUGUAAAGCUCAAAAUCACAAAUAUAUGAUAUUAAAGUCCAGGCAGUACACUAAUUGCAAAGAUAAGCUUGCAAUUGCAACAGCCUAUCGCUGUUACUUUCAGCUAAGUUAAAAGAACUAUUAUAACUUUGAAGUACAAUUUUCUCUCAACUUAUGAGAUAUAUUCGAAUAAAGAAGAUACUAUUAGAUAAGACAGAACUUACAACAUCAAAAAUGUGAUUUGACUGCGUUAUACUGUCAGUGCAAACAAAUUUAACCCAAAGAAACAAGUAAUUCAACUUCAAUAACUCUGGUAUUUUUAUGUGCCAUUGAAUUCUAAUGUGUUGUUGGGUUCAAUAUGUGUGCAGGCCAUGAAUUUUUUUGCUGCCUUGUUACUACUUCUGAUGCCUGAAGAAAAUGCCUUUUGGUAGGUCUUGAAAUUUAGUUGACAUUAUAUAUCUUUCCAAUUUGAUAGUCUUUGUAUUUAGAAGAGUUGAGCUGUGGUUGACAUUAUAUAUUUUUCCAAUUUGAUAGUCCUUGUAUUUAGAAGAGCAGUGCUGUAGUUUUGUAUUGGAACAUGACAGGGAACACUGUUUUUGGAUUUAUAUUUUGUAUUGACAUUGCUGUGCUUCUAAAUUUUGGUUUUAUUCACAGGACACUGAUGGGUGUUAUUGAUGACUAUUUUGAUGGCUAUUACUCGGAGGAAAUGAUAGAGUCACAGGUAUUGCUUGCAAUAAAUCUGCCUUUCUGUAUAUAUGUGCCUUUUACUCUUGCAAGACAUGUGAAUGACACUGAGAUCAGUGGGCGGACAUUGAUAAGUAUCUGAUCAGCUGUUCCAUUUGUCAGGUUGACCAACUUGUUUUUGAGGAGCUGGUGCGCGAAAGGUUUCCUAAAUUGGGUUUGUUCCAUUCCUCAUCAUAAGUUUUCUUUGAUGAUGCUUCCUCAGUGAGUUCUUAUGCCGUUUACUUUUGGUGCAGUCAACCAUCUUGAUUACCUGGGAGUGCAAGUUGCUUGGGUUACGGGGCCAUGGUUCCUUUCCAUAUUCAUGAAUAUGCUACCAUGGGAAAGUGGUCAGGUUUUACACUUUUAGAUAUGAACUUAAGUUUGUCUAACAUUGCAUGAUAAAGUUUUUCACUUCCACAUUGGCAGUAUUCCUAAUUUCUUCAUUCGUAUUCUCAUGGCAUUGUGCCCUAGUUACAAGAUUGACAUCUGACAGCUUUCUUCUGACUUCAGUUCUCCGAGUCUGGGAUGUCCUCCUUUAUGAAGGAAACCGUGUCAUGCUAUUUAGGACAGCACUUGCUUUGAUGGAGUUAUAUGGUACUGAAAAAUGAUGUUGUGUUAUUUUUUACUGUGCAGACAAUAACUUGGUUUUUCAAUCAUGAAGAGAUGCUGUUAUAAUUUAUGGAACUUAAUUUAGUUCAGUUUUUUUGUAGGCCCUGCAUUAGUUACCACUAAGGAUGCUGGAGAUGCAGUUACUUUACUACAGUCACUGGCAGGCUCAACAUUUGAUAGCAGUCAACUUGUCUUCACAGCCUGCAUGGGUUACCAAAAUGUAAAUGAAACCAGAUUACAAGAGCUAAGAAAUAAGCAUCGGCAAGCUGUUAUAACUACAGUUGAGGAAAGAACAAAGGGGCUUCAAGCUUGGAGGGAUUCUCAGGGUCUGGCAACUAAGCUAUAUAAUUUCAAGCAUGAUCCUAAGUCAUUACUGAUGGAAACAAAUAAACAGACUAGUGGUGAAUUAUCUCGUUCAGAGUCUGGAUCCACCAAUGCAGAUGAAGUUCUUGUUAGCUUGACAGGGGACACAGAAAUAGAUAGUGUUCCAGAUCUUCAAGAUCAGGUAGGUAAACAUUUACCCCCUUUUCUCGAGCAUAAUCUUUUCCUCAAUGCAUAAUUUUACUAAUUUAAUGAUGAUUGCCUAUCAGUAAAUGUCCAUAUGAUGUUUAUCAACAGAAUCCCCUUGGGUCAAAGACUGCAUAUUUUUUUGUUUGUAGUGAAGAAGAAACUGUAGAAAUGUAAAAUAUAUAGAUCAUCCUUCUUUUAAAUUUACCCUUCUCUACUAAAGUCUUUUAGUUACUCCAGCUUGACCUUGAUUGCAAAAAUUGUUCUUGGAAUGGAGUGGGCAUAUUUUUUAAGCCAUACGGGGGGAAAACAUUAUGGGCUUUGCUCUGAUUGGAGUGAUGUGCUGGAAGAUAAUUAUUUAAACACUGGCAUAUAGACUUUUGGAGCAAUCAUGUGACUCCUCUCUAUUGAAAUGUAACCUCUGGAGAAACUACCGGGGAGGGAAAUGUGUAUUGUUGAUCUAGAGUUUCUUGAUCAGAGCUGAUUUGAACCAAUUUGUUGUACUUUAAAACAUCAUGCUUCCAACCAGCAAAGUUCAAACUGGACAUGCUGAUUAUGUGCUAAACUUGUAGGUGCAGUUGCUUCAUUAUCAAGUGUUUUCAUUUACGGAUGGGACUGGGUUGGGUUUUCAUUCUAGGUUUAUUUUGCACUCCCCUUUGUUAUCUUGUUCAUGGCAACCAUCAUGAAACUUGGAAUUUAUAUUCCAUUCUUUAAUGACAUUAAUACAAGUUUAGGUGAUCUAGUCUUUAAAUUUUAGAUUGUGAAGUGCAGUUCUAUUGUCAUGCCGCUUCUUUGAUUACUAAUAUAUGAAUUACAUGCAGGUAGUGUGGUUGAAGGAUGAACUGUGCAAGUUGCUAGAGGAGAAAAGAUCUAUUGUACUCAGGUUAGCACUUUUCCAAUUCAAUUGUGCUAAUGUGCCUUUCUGUUGAGUGACUUAGUACCAUUUUGGCUGCUGAGUGCUAUACUAUUAAGAAAUAAUUGCACUAUUCCGUUCAUUGCAAUAUUUGUUUAGUGAUUGUAACGAAAGUGAUACAUUGAUUCACCUUCACUCUUCAAUGUGCAUUUCACGAGUAAGAGAGAAUAGCAAGUCUAUUCCCUAAGUUAGUACGAGGAUGCACGAUGGUUGGCUAGGGUAGGUGCAAAACUGCUGUUACUUAUGUUAUAUUAAAUUGGCUGCUUUUCUGAAACGUUAAAAUUUAUGAGCUAUGCAGGAGAAUCUUGCAUAGAGUGAGCUGAGGGUCUGAACAUAGGACUCAGGUUCAAAGCUAGCGCUUGCGUCAUAACUAUCCCACUAGUUCAAAGCUAGCACAUGCUUUGUGACUAUCAACUAGCUAUUUUGAUCUCCAAAAUAUAGCUUUUGUGUGGAUGGAAUUCACAGUUCGCACAUGACUAGAUCUUUUAAACAUUCCCAAAUAAAUAGCGCAAAGCUUUAGAAUAGGUGAGUUUUUCGUUCCAAUAAAGAAAAAGAAAGCUGAGUUUUGUAUGGGCACCAUGUCUCUGGCAGCGUGAAAAAUGCUACAUUUUUGUCUUCAAGUGGCAGUCUCUUUUGGAAACAACAGUAAUAACAAAAUUAUUCUCCCAGUGGCAGUCUUUUGAGAAUUUCUUUUUUCUGUAGUUGUCUGCAGAAUUUGAUGUAGAGUCACUGUGUAAGUAGUCAAAUUGUUUUCCAAUAAUAUUGCAUUUAAUUCUGUUAAUUUCAAUUCUUUGUUAGAGCUGAGGAGUUGGAGACAGCUUUGAUGGAGAUGGUCAAGCAGGAUAAUCGGCGGCAAUUGAGUGCUAGGGUAUGUCCAGACUUUCUUCUUCUUUAAAUGAGAAAUGGUUGAUCUUCUUGCAAGGCCCAGGGACUUGAAAUUACACAAAAACCACAGUUAUUCUGCAUUAUUUUUAGUUCCCUUCUCAAGCGAUUUCACAUUGUAGUUAGAAUCUGCUUCAUUUUAUGCCUAUUCCCCAUGAAUGAUGGUAGUAAUAGGGUAAAUUAUGAUCAUGCAGUGGUUAGUGUUGGAUUGGACAUUAGGCUGCAAUUUUAUGCAAUAUGCAGUUAAUCAGUUAUUAAGCCGGAUGAGUCCUUUCUGGCUAGCCUUGAUUAUAUGUUGUAUUACAUUCUGAUCUUCUUCUGAUCUUCAGGUUGAGCAGUUAGACCAAGAAGUUUCUGAGCUGCGGAGGGCUCUUGCUGAUAAGCAGGAACAAGAAAAUGCCAUGCUGCAGGUUAUUUUUUGCUUCGCGGUCAAUCAAUUCAUUUUGGGAAGAUUGCAUCUUCUCUUCUCUCUAAUCUUGGAUUGUUCUUUUCUUGAUACUAGCUCACUUUCAACUUAUGUAGGUCUUAAUGCGGGUGGAACAAGAGCAAAAGGUAACCGAAGAUGCUCGCAUAUAUGCUGAGCAAGAUGCAUCAGCACAGAGAUUUGCUGCUCAAGUGCUUCAGGUUUAUAAUUUCUUGCUCUAUUCUUUAAUUUCAUAUUUUAUAUGUAAUUUGCAUUCAAAUAAAAGUCUUAACAGUUCUAAGAUGAUGUGUGUGAUGUUCCUGACCUGCAUUUUUGCAGGUCGAACAUACCGAUUAUGCUAGUCAAUGCUUGACUCAUUUAUGUUCAUUGGAGCUAGAACUCAUAAAUAAUGCAAUUAUAUCAAAUUUAUUGUUGUAUCAACUAUUAGGAACUUGUGAUGAAUCCUUUUCUACCCCAGUUCUGGAAGGUAGUGCUUUUAUAUGAAGGUUUAAGUUAGAAUUUUGCAUAAAAGUAGGAACAUCACUCUUUCUAUAUGUUAGAAUAGAUGUAGAACACUCUUGAUAUGAUUGAGAAUAUCCUUUCUACCAUAAUACCUUGCCCUAUUGAGUAGUUGUGCUCCCUCUCCACCAAGAAGCGCACCAGAGCCCUUGAUGCACUCUUUAAUUGAUCUGUUCUCAUCUUGACAUUCUAUGUCUCUUCCUUUCACUAUUCACUCCAACAACUAUAUAUAUGCAGGAAAAGUAUGAACAGGCCCUUGCGUCACUUGCUGAAAUGGAGAAACGAAUGGUUAUGGCAGAAUCAAUGUUGGAGGCCACCUUGCAGUAUCAAUCUGGUCAACUUAAAGCACAACCUUCUCCACGGUGUGUAGUCAAUUUUACUAGUGCCAAAAGUUUCUCAUACCUUUGUGCUGUCCUAGUUUUCUUGUUUACAGGGUUUAAUCCUCCACCAUUCCUUGAAUUGUAUUGGGUAAUGUUUACUUUGAUUUGUCACUGGGUUUGGUUUGGUAUAUGCUAAAAUGGAGUGGGGUGGAAUGAACAUAAUGGGAUGAGCAGGUUGUUCUAAUGCUAAAGAGGUGCUUUUUCAAUGCUGACAAAUAAGCUCUAUUUGAAUCUUAUCAUCUCCCUGUUCAUCCCCAGGGUUUGGCAUGCAUUCAUGAGCAGCACUGUAUGUGGCUUAUUCCAUGCAUGAAGUAAUGUCUGUUUUACAUGCAUAUUUUACCUACUUGGAUGAUAUUGGUGCUUAUAAGAAACAUAAAUUUUCUUUGUAGAUCUUCACAUCUAGAUUCACAAACACGUGGAAAUCAAGAGCCUGCACAAGAUAUACCUGCGAGAAAGAUUGGUUUACUGGCUCGGCCGUUUGGACUUGGAUGGCGUGACCGAAACAAGGUUCAAUUUCAUUGUUUUAUUGCUCCCUUAAAUUCAUGAAUGCUUUCAUCAUCUACACAUUGCAGUGUACAGGUAAAUAGGAUUAUAAUGUGUCUGUUUGGGAAUGCCCUCAGUCAUUCUGAUUAUUUGUUACUCUGCUUUGUUUUCUUUGUCAAAUGGUGGAGUAAAAAGGAGAGUUAGUUGCCUAGCCCCUGCAGGAUCUCUCUUAGAUCUCUGGUGUGAUACCCCCAAGAGGGUUUACCCCCGUCUGUGUAUUUGUUUCAACUGUCUUUUUUUACCAUGGCUAAAAUAUUGCCUGGUGGAGCUAAUUACCAGCAUCUUUUUUUUGUGUUUUAGUGUUGUGGACCAUAGUGCCUGGCCUUGUAUUUAUUUUCUGAGAGAGUCAUCUGUUGGCUGUUUUUAACUAAAGUUGCUAUUUUUUCUCAUGAAACAAAAGUUAACGUUGCUGAUUCGAAUUGAACCCAACAGGGGAAACCCGCUACUGUUGAGGAUGCAAGUGAUGAUAAGCCUUCGAAUGAGGUGCAGAAUCCAAGUGUUGAGCAGGAAACUAAUGGCAUUUCAGCACACGACAAGGAAUAGAGAAUUGCAGAUUUACUAUAAUGAUAGGUAGAUCUUGAAAUCUCCUGCUUGUUGGGUUGGUAGAUAUUUUUUGUGUGCGAAUGCAAGUUCUCAGGCAGGGUGUAGAUUAGUAUCUGUCUUUGUUUUUACAGCCAUUGUAGAGCCCAUUUCCAUUAAUUAUUUGCUCAUUAAACAAUAACAUUAGUUUAGAGGCGAAGAGAAUGUAAGAAGAAACGUGGUAUCAUUGGUGAAACAAUUGUAUAAAUCUUACAUUGGUUGGUUGGCUGGCAGUAAAAAAAGUUCAUUUUGGUGAAAUAUGAAGGAAACGUGUCAGUUGCUACAACUAUGCAAUAUUUUUUAAAGCAUUCUUGAGCUAAGCCGAAAAUUCCUUGUUUACUCGAGUGUAUGGCAUGUUUUACUGAUAAACAAACAAACUCAAAAGGUGCGCCAAAUAAGCUCGCACGCCAGUUCCAAGUCAUCAGAUAAUGUCUUAUACAAGACUUUGGAUCCAGAUAUCUUUGUUCCCUGACUUUCUUUUGUUGCUUUAUUUUGUUUGUUCUUCAUAAAGUAUAGAGGUCCAAGCCCAUGGCUAUUGACAGAAAAUGAAUGAAGGUUGGGUAAGGGUCCAGCUUUCGUUUUAGGACAAUUUCACGACUGAGGUGUUCUGACAUCCAGAGGAAAGGUUAGGAGUUAGGAUUCGGUUUUGUUAUAGAGAAGGAACACUGGAGUUGAUAAGAGUAAAAAAAAAGAGCCGGAUUGCAUGGGGGAUUGCUUGUGUUCAAAAGAAGAGCGGGGAAACUCAAGUUAUGGCAGGCGGGAGAGGCGAUUCCUCCAAAAAAUAUGAUCAGAACCUUGCUAAGUUGGACUUACAUAUUGUAUUUUCCUGUUAGCCCGUCACGCCCAUAUUCCAAAACCACAUGCUCAAAGUGCCAGAUCCAAAAGAAGUCACCCCUGAGAGAUGGAUCAAUUCCAAAGAUUUUGGGCAAAUCAGGAGGAUGUAUGCAUAAAAAAAACAUAGGCAAGGAGCAAUUCCAAGCAACUAGAGCAGACUUAUAUCAAGGCUGCACGAGUUUCUAUUAAGAAUGAGAAUUAGAUACAAGGCCCAAAGCUCAAUUGGACAUGAAAAAUUUUUGUAAAGGAAGGGGUAGAAGACUGGGAAAAAAUAAUGAUAAUCGUAAGGCCGAAACGAACUUACAAAAAGGAGGAAGAAGAAUUUUCUAUUGCAGCAUUUGUGUCUGGCACCGCUACACCUGGACUGGUGCAGAAUUUGAUCGACAAGAGCCAUUGCAAACGCAGCCAACAACUGCAUAUCUAAUCCUCUGAUAUCUGAAUCAUGGAUAGAAAUUUGUUCGGGUGAAUCAUCCUGUGUUCCCGCGGUUUGCAGGGAGAUAGCAGUCUAAAAUUGGUUUCCAAGGUUUGAACCAUCCUUAGACAACUGUUCCUGCUAAAUCUCUACCCUACCACUUCAUUGUUCCCUUCUAGUUCCAGGAGUAGAAGGGCCUGUGCGAGAGCCCUGGACUGGCUGGGUCUCUGGAUCAUAAUUCUGGGAAGCAAGAUAAGAAAGUGCUGUGACUACAUCAGCUAUAAGGGGUCGCAUAUUAGGCUGUUCUUGAACACACAUUGCAGCAACAGCAAGAGCUUGAUACAAGCCCCUCAUUGGAUAGUGGCCUUGGAGUAAUGGGUCAGCCAUCUGCGCAAAUUUUCUCCGAUCUUUAAAUAACGGUCGUGCCUGCAACACGGGACGAAUUAGAUAGGAUACACUUAAGUAGCUUCAUGACAAGAACUUGUAUUCUUGGUGAUCAGUUCCUAACUAGCUGGUGUGACAGCAACAGCAUAGCAAAUCUGCAAUGCAGAAAUAAUACUGACUAGCUAAAUAUGAAACACUGACUAAGUUUAUUGUGUGAAGCGUAUGGAUCCUAGGGAUAACAAUUUCAUCCAAAUUCGAUGGAUAUCCACCCAUCUAAAUGGGUAGAAUUUUUAUGGAUAGUUGCUAUUUUGAAUCAGACAUGGAUAUCUAAAAUUCUUUCCAUGUGGAUAAAGGAUAGGUUAUAGAUAUUAUCAAACCCAGCCCAAAAUAUAUAUAUAAUGUAAAAUAAUUAUAGUUUUUCAAUUCAGUAUAAUAUACACAUACCCCAAUAUUAACAUUAUACACAUGUAUAAUAUUUAUUAGAUCCCCAUUGCUAUAAGUAUAUAUUAUUUUUUAUUUUAUGUUGAGUAAUGCAUAGUAUUUGCGUGAGGAAUAUUGGAAUGGAUAUCAUAGAGUAUAGAUAUUCAAAUUUCUUAUAAGGGAUAAAAUAUGGGUAAAGAAUUGGUUUUGGGUAUGGGUAUGGUUUAGGCCCUAAGCCUAAGGAUCGGCAUUCGGCAGCAGUUCUCGUCAUAUAAUCCUGGACUCAAAAAACCAAAAAAAAAAAAAAUAAGGAGAAGAAGAAGAAGAAGACCAAAGGUACAUGGAUUCAUGGUUGCUGCACCACGUAUUUAUUUAAGUGAGGCAUCUAUACAGGAAGGAUGAGAAUAUCAGUGCAGGAGGACAUGGAUAGCUUUCUUACCCAUGCAACCAAGUUAUGCUCCCCAGCGGCUCUUGAAUUAUCAAUAGCUUUCCUCCCAGUAAUAAUCUCAAGGAGAACAACACCAAAGCUAUAAACAUCUGAUUUCAGAGUAAGCUGACCUGUCAUUGCAUAUUCAGGUGCACAAUAUCCAUAGGUUCCCAUCACUCUGGUGGAUACAUGAGUCUCGUCACCAACAGGACCCAAUUUCGCCAAGCCAAAAUCAGAUAGUUUGGGAUGAUAACCUUCACCAAGUAAAAUGUUUGAGCAUUUCAAAUCACGGUAUAUAACAGGGGGGUUAGCACUGUCAUGCAAAUACUCCAAGCCUUUCGCAGCACCAGCAGCUACUUUCAUUCUUGUAUUCCAGUCAAGUCGUUUUUUAUCAGGUGGCAGGUCUGAAAUAUAAGCAUAUAAGAAGGAAAAUUGCUGAAGCUUUGCUACAUGAAAUCUAUAUCAAGCCACUGCAGUGAUUAAACAAGAAAUGUGAAUCUAGAACAGAUAUCUUCGCUGCAACCAUGUAGUUUCUGCACCUCACCUGCCAUCAAUCUCAUUCGACUGUUUAACAGGAUAUGUAAUGGACAGACAAAAACCCUAAACUUUUUUGCAGCCUAAUUAUCUAGAAAUCAAAGAUUUGGUACCAUACCAUGUAGAUGGUCUUCCAGGGAUCCUAAUGGCAUGUAUUCAUAAACCAAAAGUCUUUGAUCUCCAUCAGCACAAUAGCCAAUCAAGUUAACGAGAUUUGGAUGGUGGAGUAGGCUCAACAUCAAUACUUCAACAAGGAACUCUCUAUUCCCUUGCAGCCCAUUACGAUCAAGUUGCUUGAUAGCUACAACCUACACUAUCCAAAGGACAUGGUUAAGGUCUUACCACAACCCUGUUGCAAACGGUCAAAACUGAAUGCAUUAAAAAGAGAUUAAAUGCUAACAGUUAAGAGAUUAUUUUGAGCUAAACAAAGAACAAACACAGCAGAAAAGAAGUAUAUUUAACUUUUACUCCAGUUAAAAGCACGCUGCUUUUGCAGGGAGUUCUUCACAAACUUUCCCUUUUGGUGAAACAUGCACCUUAUAAUUCCCAUAUUUCUUUGGGCACUUUUAUGCCUUCCAAAAUAAUGAAGACUACAAAGAAAAACUUGUCUGUAGAUGUUGCUUUUAUUUCCAGUUACCUUCCUGUUUGCUUUACAUUAUAGAUAAAUGUUUUGGAUAAAAAAGAAACCACCAGUGGAGAUCAAGUAUACAUUAAGAAGCAAUGCAUGCUACCUAGAAUGCCUUUAAUAAGCUUGCAACAAUGAUCUCCUAGAUUAGUGGAAGGGGCAGCAGAGAUUCUGCUGUAGGUUUUGACUUUCAAGAUCCAGUGGCAAGGUGGAAGCGGACAUAGAUGAACAUGUGGGGAUUUGCUGGGUGAUUGAGGGCCCUGUGCAAUGGUUGUAAUGUGAGGUUCUGGUACUUGAGUUCUGAUGGUGGUGACAACAGUGGCUGGAGAUUGAUCACAAUACAGGCAAAGUGACAGUGGGGCAGGACACUGGUGGGGUAAGGUGACCAUCAUGGCAUGAACAAAGUAGCGACAAGGCAGAACUGUUAUUCGUUCCAGGCAACAAUGAUCAUGGCAUGAGAUGCAAGGCAGUUCAAAAUAACAUGUGAAGCUGCAACUUUAGUCUUGGCCAGGUAUGGUUUGCUUUCUCUUCUAAGCAGUAUCAGUGCUUGUUUCUCCUUUUUUGUUCUUUGCCCUUAGUAUUUUUUUUUCCAUUGCUUAAAAUGCACUCUCAAUGCCUUUUGUCUACUACUACUAUUGUUUUUAAAACAUGUUCUGAGGAACUUUCUAUAAAAUAACACUGGUUUUGGCAGAACUGGAAAAAUUUUCAUGACUGCUAGAAUCCAAUAAGUUCAACCAACCUGAUUGGUACUCUCCAAUCUCCCUUUAUAUACUCUGCCAAAACCUCCUUCACCCAAAAGACAAUCUGCCCUGAAGUUCUUUGUUGCAUUUGCCAGUUCGCGAAAUGUGAAUGUAUGUGCUGCAAUGUAUUCAGAGCUUCCAUCCUUAGAAGCCUCCUUCACAUCCAGUGCCAUAUUUGACUUUGUUUUAUCUGGAAUGCAAUCAAUAUGAUUUUUUUUUUAUUGAAUGUAGAAGAGCAAGAUAUGGUACAUACUAUUACAUCAGCAAACAUAAAGGAUUCUUGACAAUUGAUAACAUUUCAUCGCGUCAUUAAGAGUUUAGAAAGAAAAUGAAGAAUCGCAAAAGACAAAACAGGCAUUCAAAAAGGAUCUGAGCUUGGAUUUUCCCAGUCAUACAAGACAAGAAAACGAUCGAGCUCCAUUACAAGUAUUGCGCAUUGCUUCCGUAUGCAACACCAGUUAUCCAACUAUAACGGAACUGUAAACAGUUUCUGAACUAAGUGGAUGCUGACGAGUUCUUUUAAGGAAAUUUGACCUCGACAUUAAGAUGACUUGCCUUUUAUUCAAGCAUGCAGGAAUAAAAAAGAAAAAGAAAAAAGAAGUAUACACCUGUACAACCACUGUAAUGUUAAUUAACCUACCUUUUACAAUUAGCAUGGAACAAAAGUGUGAUUAACUUCUUAAAAAUGAGGAUUUCAAAAUAUAAAAAAAAAACAUGGAUAAGUGAUUGAACCAACUCGGAAAAUUACAAAUCCAACAAAACUUUAAUUAAUACAUAAUUUACAAUCAAGGUGGCAAAGGCAAGAGGUAUUAAUAAAAUUCAGCUUCAUUAAUUACCUGAUUUCUUGAAUUUGACGCUACGAGCAACUGUUUAAGGUAAAUCGUUGCUGAAUCGAUCCCGGUAGUACUAACAAUCAUUUUAAGCUGGUUUACACUACUUGUAAUUAUGGAAACUCGUCAUGCCCACAAAGUCAUUAUCAUUCGAUUAGGCUUCGAAAUAAACCACAUUAGUCUAAACAAGAGCUAAACAUGUGCCACAGAGAAACAUCAAUCUCAAAUCUUAUCCUCCGUGACCAAUCCAGAUCAAUACAUUAUUCCAAACCCGUAAAAGAUUGCUUCACACAAUUAUGCAAACGGCGUACCUUUAAUCAAUUCAAAUCAUUUUUCAUGGCAACAAAAAUGCAUGAAAAUCAGUCCAAGAUUAUUAACUUGAUACUGGGCAUAUGACAAAAAAAAAUAAUCUAAACUUUCAAGCUUUAUGGUGUCUUUCAUUGAAAUACCUGAAGAUGACGGGAUCUGAUCAUCAGGCUUCUUGUUACUGCCAUUUUUUCUGGACUUUCCAGCACAAGAAAAGCAACCCAUUUUAGUCCCUCUUUCUCUCUCACUGCAACGAGUAUUACCUCGCAGAGAGAGAGGGGGGGCGGAAGCAGACCAAACACCGCUUGGGAUAGAGAGAGAGUGUGCUUAUGUCUUUAGUUCAGAGAGAGGGUUAUUCUGGUAUAUAUCAUUUCAUUCCUGUGUCUUUUUGCAGCUGCGUCCUUCUGUCUUGCCAAUUUAUGAAUGGUAACUCAAACUUUCUAUAUUCUCUCAAAUUCCCUCAUUUUACAUUUUGUUUUUAAUUGAGGAAAUUGACUAUCAUGGGUGCUAUAGGGAUGUGUAGCCUUGAUGGCUGUAUCAUAAAUACAUGAUAUUUUAAAAUUAGACAUGGAAAAUUAUUUAUAUACAAUAAAGUUAUAUUAAAGAUUCGUAUAAACUGAUAUGUUAAUGACAGGUGAAAGUGGUUACGUGUAGGUUUCAAGAAUAUUAGAUGUUUAAUAAAUUAUAAAAUAAUAGUUGCCACGUCGAUUUGUUUUUUAUUGAAAAAACUAAAUUACUAUUGGCUUGUAAACGUACUGUUAACUACUUGGGCAUGGAUGUAAUUUUACUCAUUUCUAAUACCAAGCUGCACGGUGGAAUGCUCAUCCUUUUUUCUUUCUUUUUUUAAUUUCUCACCCCCCGUGAGAAAACCACACAACCGAGUAACAUGUUGUUGGUGUUUAAAACAAAACUCAAGCUUCCAGAACUGCGAGUUGCUUACAAUAAUUCCAACGUUGUACACCUAACCCAAUGAUUUCAGUGCGUUGUUGCCAUGUGAUUGAUAAAUGGUAUUGUGAGCACCAGCUCGAGCGAGGAAUACUUUCCCUUUAAACGGUGUCGUGCAGAUAGUGUACAAUACCCACCUCUUCAUAUGGAAUUAAUUCCAAGGGCAAGCAACAUAGCAAGACAACUAUAUACUCACAUGACAACUGCAGUUUUGAAUCAUGCUAGGAUCUGAGAGAGACUUAUCGUAGUUUAAAGGGAUUCACUGGAAUAUUGUUUGUUUCCUUUUCUUUCUUUAUUUUUUUUUCCCCUUUGAAUUCAAAUUUUAAGAGUCAAUAAUUUAUUACUUUUUCUAAAUUUAUUAAACUGGUAUAGGAAGUUGAAAUUUUUUAUGGUCAUCAAGGGAAUAAUUAAUGAUACGCUAUUGGUUAUUUUUAGGCUUGUUUAUAAAUAAAAAAAUAGUUAUAAAUAAAAAAUAAUAAUAAAAUUCAUGAUUCAUCGGAAGUGAAAAAAUCUAUUUAUAAUUAUUGUUUUAAAAAAUAGGUUUAAAAAGAAAUUGACAAGAUGCAAUUAUUUACUCGCUCAUCAUCAUAAAUUUUCAAAUUUGAAAUAACUUGUCAGAUCAAGUAACCAAUAAAAUGCAGUUAUUUUCAAAUCUGAAAUGAAAAAAUAAUGAUGCAAAAGGCAAAAAUACUCAUGAUAUGAGCAAACACCUCAAGGAUUCAACAUUAUCAUUUGCCUUCUCGAUGCUCAUAACACUAGAAGAUCAUCCUUUGACUUGUUUGGACCAAGUUAUAAAUAUCCAUAGCAUACUUCUCCCAGCGCAAAUCCCGUUCUGUGCCCCUUUUUAGUUUUUCCUUUAUCGCUAUGAGCUAAAUUACUCACUUUUUUGUUUUGUUUUUGGGCCAUACCUAAUCCUUGCCAAAAGGAAACCAAUCCCUACCGAAAGACAAGGAUGCCCCUGUCAAUCGGGGCAUGGAUUCACAAAACUCUUGAACAAACUUGUCUUUUUAUUAUUAUUAUUAUUAAUAUGGAUGUUCGGACCAGCUUCCAUGCACCUUAACUAAUCACAUGAGCCUGAAGUUAACGACCAUGUAAGCCUCCAAUGAUCUUAAGAUUUGUGAGACUCGAACCAGUGAUUUAUAAAAAGCAAACUCAAGACCUAAUCAAGGUUAACUUGUUUUUUUCAACCAAGUAAAGCCGAUAAUCUUUACAAAAAAAACAGCAACCAAAAUCAAUUAAUUUUGAAUACACAGGUGACCUAUGUGGAAGUGAGGUGAAUUUUAUUUUUUUUAUGUUUUUUAAAAGUAUUAAUAUUUUUUUAUAUAUUUUUUAUAAUUUUGAUCUUCUGCUCUCAAAAUAAAAAAAUAAUUUUAAAAUAUUUUAAAAUAAAAAAUACUUUGAAAAUUGAACAUAUCUAUGACCUCUCUAUAUCCAUCUCCUCUCUUGUUUUUUCUUCUUGGAUACAGGGCUCUCCUUUGAAAAAACAAAAAAAACUCCACUUCACCUGCUCUACUCCACCCGGUAUGUUUCCAGGUGGAAAAUAAUAGCGUGGUUUUUUGAAACAUCCUUUGCCAGUGGCAUUUUGGCGGCAGAAUCGAGGGUUUGAAAAAGCUACUUUUGCAAACCGUGUUUUAGGGGAGGAUUUUUCAUUAAGUUAAUGAACUUGCCCGGCUGGAAAAAAAAAACAUACAGAUAUUUGAUAAAUAACUAGUUUGCUUAACUAUUUACAUUAUUUUUCCACACUAGAUCCCGUUUGUUCCAGCAGCUGAGCAUGUUUUUUUUUUAAUUAUUUUUUCUAUAUUUUUUUAUUGGUUAAUAUAAAAAAUAUUAAUUUAAUAUAUUUUAAAAUAAAAAACAUUUUUAAAAAUAAUUGAUACAACAGUAUUAAACAGUAUCUAAGUUUAUGGAAAACGUAAACAGUAAAAGCUGUACUUCAUCGUAUUAUACAACAUCAAAAGUGAGCCUCCGUUUCAGACAUAUAAUCUUUGACCGAUUUGUCUAAUCAAAUAACUGUCUUAAAAUUGAUUUUCUUGUUGACUUUAAUGGACGUGUAUUCCCAUGAAUUUUACCGUGAAUAUUGUAAUUAUUGAAUAUUUAUAAUACUUUUUAAUAAAAUAGAGAAAAUAAUAAUAAUUAAAAGAAUUUGUUUUACGAGAUUGAAUAUGAUUUUUUCUCUUCUCUUUGUAUUUAUAAAUAUUUAGUAAUUAUAACUUAAAUACCAUGAGACUUUUCAUGCAUUUCAAGUUACAAUUUUUUAGUAGAAAUUUAAGAAGAAAUCACUUUUUUUUUACUUAAAAUUAUUUUUUAUAUAUUCUUGUUGAAGUGUUUUGAUAUACUAAAUAUCAAAAAUAAAUUUUUUUAAAAAUAUUAUAUUAAUAUAUUUUAAAAUAAAAAACAUUUAAAAAAAUUAACGGCAACACAAUGUCAAUAUCCAAGUUCGUGAAAAACAUAAACAGUGAAAGCCGUAAUUCAUCGUAUUAGACAACACUAAAAGUACCCCCCUUUACCCAUUUGUCAAAUCAAAUAACUGUCUUAAAAUUGAUUUUCUUGUUUACUUUAAUGAAUGAAUUUUACCGUGAAUAUUGUAAUUAUUGAAUAUUUAUAAUAUUUUUUUAAUAAAAUAGAGAGAUAAAAAAAGAAAAUAAGAAAAAAGAUUUUUUUUAUUUCUUCAUGGGAUCGAAUAUGUUUUUUUUUUAAAAUUUUCUUUUUAUAUUUAUAAAUAUUUAGUAACCACAACUUAAAUACCAUGAGAUUUUUCGUGCAUUUCAAGUUACAAUUUUUUAGUAGAAAUCUAAGAAGAAAUCACUUUUUUUAUUUAUUAGGGAUACAAUGCGAGUAAUUUGUUUGGGCUCAAUCAACGAGAACUUGAAUUUUAAUACCGUUAAGAAAAUUGAUAUUGUUUUUGUAAAACUGAUUGUUCUGAGAUGAUGGCAUGAUGAUUGAUCAAACGGCAGAAAACAAAGUGUCAUUUAUUUAAAUUGGGAGGGGGCAUGGGGGCUUUGUCGUUUUUAAAGUUUUGACUUUCUUUUAAAAUAACGGACCCAGAGUGAUAAUGAGAGUGCCAGCUGGUGCCAAAUGGCUCAUGGCUCUAAUUUGGGCACAUAAAAAAAUAUAGCUGCAACACACAGAAAAGAAGGGCUUGUUAGUUCCACCAAUAAAAUUGCAAAGAGCUAACGGUCAUGGAACUGGGUAGCAUCAUCUCAAACUGAAAACUUCCCCUUUGCUUUGACAUAAUGGUUUUGAGACUGCAAGCUAAAAGCUUAAAUCUGAUGCUGUGACUAAUUGCUCCCGUUUCACAAAUUUUAUCAUAAUUUUAUUUUGCUGCAGUUGACAGUUUUGAACAGGGGAAUGUGCAAUGAGAGGGGGAGCUCAAAGAACAAGAUAAGCAAUUUCCACUUCAUGGCCAAGGAAAAUAGUGUUGACUACUUCCAUCCCGGUACUCAAACUUAAGGAGCCAAACUCGCCGUGUUUGGAUCGACGCUUACCUUUUGUGAAGGCAGCAAAGAUUUCUAGUUAUCGGAACUGUGCAAAGGCUGCAUAUUUUUUCAUGUGGAGAGGAGGCAUGUGUCCAGUGAUGAAAAUUACAAGAAAAAUGUGAUCUUCCAAAAAGAAUGAUAAGAGAUUUCCUUUUUUUUCCUGAAUAGAAUUUCCUGAUUUAUCUUCAGCGUCAAUUUGCAACCAUCGUUUUUCGUCUUGUUUGAUGAGCAUUUCAAAACCCAGCUCAAAACAAAUAGAAUUGGGAAUACUUGUGAUGUACAGGUUCAGUGGUUUUUUAUCUUCAUCUCAGAAGUCAGAACUGAAGUACUUGAUCAUCGUUAGAACAAAAUUAUGUACUGACAUGAUCCUGCAGAUGUCUCGCUGGGGCUUCGAAGUUCGAACUUGCCCUGAAAGAAAGUACUGUUAUGAUACCUUGCAGCAAUAAUCUUACUCGACAACGAUAACUGGCAGAAAAAGAAUCUUAACAUAAAGAGAGAAGCCAAAUCUCUUCCUUCGAAUUUUUAUUUGCUUUUUUUUUUCUAUAACUAAACUUUGAUUCGGAGGUUGAACUAAUAGCCUUGAGCUUGUCUAGGUUUGACAACCGUCUUGGAAUUCUUGCUUAAUGAAUUCAUGGGUUUACAUAACGUGUAGGCCUCAAGGGAAAAUAUCCUCGGUAAAAAAUAUAGUUUAUGGAGUGCUUUUGCGGUAUCAUCAAUUCAUCACGAGUUUUUGCCUCAUUUGCAAUGGUCUACUCACCACCUUGCUAGGGUAGCCGAUGAUUCAGUUCCAGGAGUCACCGAUAAUUUGAUUACGGGGCCUGUUCAAGCAUUCAUGGUCUACCGACCCCGAGCAAUCAUCACGUUGGAUUCCUUGUUUAUGAUAACAGAAGAAACAAAGUGAGAACAGAGGCGUUAUAAUUAGAGAACAGAAUCCAUACAAGGAGAACAAAUGAUAACCUUUCAAGUUUCAGGCAGUCCUGUAAACUACAAUACAACACAGAUUGAACAGCUCAUUUAUUGGAGAAGGCUACCCUGUGAAGGGUUACCUUCUAUCUAGUUGUAGUAGUCCGUGGCAGUAACAUGUAUAUUAGUCCACAAUCAUAGAAUAGUCCAAGAUGUCCUUCUGAACAGCUCUUUACACAGUUAAUAAUUUGUCUUUGAUAACAGUGGUUCUGUAAUUUUUCCUGCCAAGCAUAAUCCAACCGAUCUCAAGCACAAAAUUCCCAAGGCACAAGCUGGUAACAGGUCAGAUUAGCUCUGUGCAUCCUCAUCUUUAUGUUCAAAUGGUACUUGUCGCACAAAUUGUCCUCGGACACGGGGUCUGUGUUCUGCCAGCUUCUUCCUACUCUGGUAUCGAACCUAGAAAAGAUUAUGUAAAUACAAGGUAAACUUUAAAUACUGCAAUAUAGAAACAACAGGUAACAUCAUAAUAGAUGCUUUAUUCUUAGUUUCACAAAUUUACUUAGAUGACUGUUGGGAUAAUUAAUGUUUUCAAUGCUAAUACUAGUAAAGAAAAUGUCUGAUGCUUGAUAAGUCACAAGUCCUUGGUGAUUGAUCUUGGUGUUGGGUGUUUAUCCAUGCACAAAUAAGUAAAUAAUUGAGAGAUUUUUAGUCUUUGGAUGUCUCACAAAGUUCAAAUUAUCCAUCUUUUACUAAGAUUAUCUACAUGCUAGGACUCUUUUCACCAAAAGUCCUUUAAGAGAAAAUAAAUGAGUUCUAAGCUUGUAUCUAAUUAUGAUGCAAUUUCAGUUCUACCUUCUUCUCAAAGCAUCUCUCCUUCCUCUUCUGGCGGAAUUUGUUCAAUGCAGCCUCUCUCAGUGCAAAGCAAUUUUGACCGCCUCCGCUCCUGCUCCCACUUUCAUCACCUGUACCAGGAUUUUCGUCUUUUCCAGCUGCCCCACUAUUGCUCUCCAAGUUUAUUCCUCUGGGAUUCAAAGCAAUGCAGCUCUCAUUUUGGCCAUUGCUCCCAUUCAUACUGUAAUUACCAGCAUUUCCUUCCAUGGGUGUGCUCAACAUGUUAGAUGACCCAAAUCGGGGACCUGCAGCUGCCAUAUUUUUCAAAGACAAAUCAUUGCGGAUGGUGAGGGGCAUGUUAUGAACACAGUGACGAUGGUGUUGCACUUGGCCUUGCUGGUUCAUGCCUCUUGAUUGAGCCAGAAUUGUGUUAGCGAUUGGAGCAUCACCCUUACCCUGUAUUACAGGCUGAGCAUGAAGUGUCUGGUCAUUCUGCACUGGCUGGAAGGCAGAAGAAGGAUGGAGGCAUUUAACUGUAGAUUUUGGUGUUGGCUUGUCUCUGAUUACCAAAGGUUUGGCGAAAGCAUUAUUAGUUGUAGUGCCCACAUCAUUGUUAUUACUACUUCCAUUGGAACAUAGAUUGCGAGGUGUGCUAUUUGAGUUGGAUUGAAGAUUUUGCAUUGAUUCUGUUUUUGCUGCUUCUGAACAUUUAUCAAGCAGAGAACAGCUACCUACAUUCCCUGUUGGAGCCUGAUAAGCGGUUGAAGCAGAAUUAUACCUGCAUAGUAAUGAAGAUUCAACUUUAGGAUGUACCUCCAUUGAAGGACCAAAGAAUGGAUAUGGUCAGAAUCCAAAUUUAUCCUACCUUGAGAAUGCUGAAAGGUCUGAAUGUCUCAACACAUUUCGGUCAUUGGCACUGGCCCAAGCAUCUCCAGUAUCUCUCAGCCUUUUCAAAACCAGUUCAAGAGAAGGCAUCUCCUUGGUCUCAUAGAUGACCUCAUUCUUUUUGUUAGAAGAGAGACUGUUUGAGAUGUCUACGACUUCACUUUCAAUCUGAGGAUUAGUAAUGUUUGUGCUGACACCCUUGAGAUCAUUGCCUUGGUUUCUCAAUUCUGUAUUGUGUUUUUCACUGUUGAGCUCCAGUUGUCCUUUCUCUAAAUGCCCACUGUCCUGUUCUGAUUUUAUUUCACGAAAUUUCUCUCCAUUAUUCCCUGCUAUGUUGGUCAGUACCUCUUUGCUUAGAUCUUUAUGCUGCAAAUUUGGAAUUCUAGGUACUCCUAUCUCCAAGUCCUUGCCCAUAACAAAGUUAUCUAAGAAUUCAUUGCAGUAUUAUUUCAACCAAAGGUCAAGAAAAGG